rnacentral:lncRNA from 1 species
AACCAAAUCCCCGUACAAACUGUUGUAUGGGUGGCAAAUAGAAACAGGCCUCUCAAAGACUCUUCUGGGGUUCUCACCAUAUCAGAUGAUGGCAACCUUGUUGUUUCCAAUGGAAAAGCUGAGCUUCUUUGGUCAACAAAUGUUACGAAUCUGGUUCCUAAUGCAACAACUGCACAGCUUUUAGACUCUGGAAAUCUUGUCCUCAAUAAUGGCGACAAUGGAGGAAGCAGCAGCUUAUGGGAGAGUUUUCAACACCCUUCUAAUGCAUUCCUUCAAACUAUGAAGAUCGGCGUUGAUGUAAAAACGGGUCGUAAGGUGCAUACGAGAUCAUGGAAAGGCCCUGAUGAUCCAUCUGAUGGUAACUUUACUGAUUGCCUUGAACCUUUCAACAUCCCAGAGGGUGUCAUUCGGAACAAUAACCAGAUAUAUUUUCGGACUGGCCCAUGGAAUGGCCAUUUCUAUAUUGGUUUAAUAGAAAUGAAUACCGUUUAUCUUGAUGGGUUUUAUGUGGUUGCAGACGAUGAAGGAAAAAGUUAUUAUGAAACUUACGAAUAUUCUAAUAAGUCUAUGUUGAUAUACUAUGAAUUAGAUUAUGAAGGAAGAUUCGUUGAACGAAAAUGGGAUGCGGGGAAAGGGGACGGGAUAAACCGUUACCUAAUUCUUCAAAAUGAUUGUGAUUUUUAUGGGAAGUGUGGGGCAUUCGGAAUCUGCGAUCCAAAGAAACAACCCAUUUGCCGUUGCUCAAAGGGAUUUAAGCCUAGGAAUGCAGAGGAAUGGCGUAGAGGUAAUUGGAGUAGUGGGUGUUUUAGGACUACCCCUUUGCAGUGCCAAAGAGAUAACAACAAUGGCAGUGGAGGAGCAGGCCAAAGUGAUGAUGGGUUUUUGAAGCUGAAGACGAUGAAAGCACCGGCUUUUCCAGAUCGGUCAUCAAUAAUUAACGGCGAAUGCAAAGAUCAAUGCAUGAAGAAUUGUUCGUGUGUGGCUUAUGCGUAUGAUGCUGGAAUUGGUUGCAUGUUUUGGAGUGGAGAUUUGAUUUUGAUGUCCAGAAAUUCCCCACUCGCGGAGUCGAUCUUUACAUUCGUCUGCCAUCUUCGGAACUGGGUAAAGUUUCUUAGUGUCGACCAUGUGUUUGAUAAAUUGCGUCAAUAUCUGCCUUUUUGGGUUAAAGUUAUUAACCAAGUUUUUCUAUUUGCAGAUACAGGGUUUAGGGUUAUUGUUAUUACAACAGUAACUGCGGGCAUAGUCGUUAUUACAAUUUCUACACUCUUCUUAUGGUGUAGGAAAGCUAAAUAUAAAGGUAAUACAUAUGAAAAAUAUUUAUAUGUAUAAAUAAUUUACUAAGAAAUUACAAAUUAAACUAAAAAUAUAUAUGUGAAAAAUAUUGAUAAAUCUAAAACGAUAUAUUGAAACAUGGUGUUAUUUGUCCAUAGUUACAUAUUAAUGCCAAGACAACAACAGUAUGUCUGUCAAUACGUUACUAACUACUUUGAUCCUAUCUCAGGAAGAAAUAAAAAACGAAAACAAAUCAAACACCAGUUUUCUAGUGAAAAUAUUGGAGAAAAUCCAGUUGGAGUUAAACUCCAGCAGCUGCCACUAUUCAAUUUCGAAGAACUUGCCACCGCGACCAACAACUUCCAUCCCGAAAAAAAGCUAGGGCAGGGUGGUUUUGGUCCGGUUUACAAGGUAAUAAAUAACGGCGAUUUCCGGUGAAUUCAGAGUCAAUGAAAUGACUUCUUUUUUUCAAUCAAGGAUUGUGAUCAGAAUUCUGAGCGCAGGGAACAUUAGAUGAUGGAAAAGAAAUAGCAGUGAAGAGAUUGUCAAAAGCUUCGGGGCAAGGAUUGGAAGAAUUUAUGAACGAAGUGGUGGUUAUUUCAAAGCUCCAACAUCGAAACCUGGUUAGAUUAUUUGGGUGUUGUGUUGAAGCAGAAGAGAAGAUACUCGUCUAUGAGUUCAUGCCCAAUAAAAGUUUGGAUGCUUUUCUCUUUGGUUAGUAACUUAUUAAUUUUUUUUAGUGUUUAAUAAUCAUAUUAAACUCCUAUCAAAUUUAGAAUCAAAUCAAGUCGAAUUCUAAAAAGAUUAAACAAAAUUUAAAUUUAAAACUUUGGUUUAGAGGCAUUUCAAUUCAUUAUCCUGAUUGCCUUAUCUGCCUAAUUUGAUAAGUUUGACUAGAUGUAUUCAAUCCAUGUAAGUUAAAUUUGGGAUAUAAUUUUGACUUUUAAGUGGCCCAAUCCAACUUAAAUCUAAUUAUAUAUUAUAUUUAUUGUUAAAAAUGAAGUGUCUUACAAUAUAUGAAUUGUAUAUAUGUAUACAUAUAUAAUAUGUUAUAUAUAUAAGUAAAAGAAAAUGUUUGCAUCACCAUAAACUAUUUUUCUAACUUAUUUUUCUUUUUUUAUUAUAAAUUUUCUAAUUUUUUAUAUUUAUUCAAAAAAAGGAAAUUUCAAAAAGAAAAUAGACGAACAUUCAAGGUUAUUAACUAAAAUUACUAUAUAUACUCAAUUUUGUGUUGUCUACAUUUUUUUUUUCUGAAUUUUCACUUUUUCCUUUGAAUUUUCUCUUCUUUUUUUUAUUAUCUAUUUUAUAAGGAAGAUUAUAUAUUUUUUAAUAGGAGUUGGUCUAUACUCUAGGAUUUAAAAAGUAGUGGCAACAGUAAGUUUUGACUCUCUCUCAUUUUAAUAUUUAUUUCAAUUGAUUCACAUAACUUCAAUUAUGCUACAAUCAUAAUGAAUAUAGUAUGAUAGAAAUAAGAACGUUGGUUUUAGUUUAGAUCCUCAAUUAUAGGAAUUAAUUAUUAAUCUUGGUGGUAAAUUUUGUUAUAGAUCCUGUUAAACAAAGACUCUUGGAUUGGAGAAAACGCUUCAAUAUUAUUGAAGGGAUCAGUCGAGGAUUGCUUUAUCUUCAUAGAGAUUCAAGAUUAAGGAUUAUACAUAGAGAUCUAAAAGCAAGUAAUGUUUUACUUGACCAAGAUUUAAAUCCAAAAAUUUCAGAUUUUGGGAUGGCCAGGAUCUUCGGAGGUGAUGAAAAUCAAGCCAAUACUAAAAGGGUUGUUGGAACUUAGUAAGUUGGAACUUUCUCCCUACAAUUUAUUUUUAUUCAUUUUUUGAUAAAAUAUGAUAUAAAUAUGUCUAUGGUUGGAUUCGGUGCUUAAAGAAAAUACAUGUCCAUACCCGUAUCAAGUUUAAUUUUGUUCAAUUUGUGGACUCAAGUUUUUGUUUUUAAUUUUAAAUAAUUUAUUAUUUAUUCUUAAUUCGGGUUGACUCGUGGACAAGUUUAAAUUAGAGUUGUAAUUGGUGUUAUUUUUUUAUGUUAAAAUACAGUGGUUAUAUGUCUCCUGAGUAUGCAAUGCAAGGGCAAUUUUCAGAGAAAUCAGAUGUGUUCAGCUAUGGAGUUCUACUACUAGAGAUUGUUAGUGGAAGAAGAAACACAAGCUUUUAUAACAAUAAGGAUGACCUCAGCCUCUUGGGAUAUGUAAGUUCAUAAGAUAGUUAGAGAUAUUGGUGGAUGGAAUUAGGGUGUAAGAUGUUGUAUUUGCGAGUUAUUCAAGUUCGAUUUGAGAAAACUUGAAUUUGGCUCAACAAUUAUUGAGUUGAGCAAUCAUUUGAGUUGAAUUUGAGAAUCUUAAUGCUUGAAUCGAGUAGCUCGCAAGCUAACUUCAAGAACCCUAAUACUUGAAAUGAGUAGCUUGCAAGGCUUUUCAAUCUUAAUCAAUAUUGAAAAUUUUUAGUUCAAACUCGAACUUGAUUACAAAUAAUCAAGUUUAAAGUUAAGCAAAAGAGUGAAGCUCAUUGUAAACUUAGGUAAAACAAGCCUAAGAGAGUUAGAACAUUUCAAUCUUUAUCUUGAAUAGAGCUGAUCAAACUCUAUUUAAACAUUAAGAUUAAAAUUUUGAGUCAAGCUAAGCUGAAUAAUUUUGGCAUUAAUUAAGUCAAAAGUUGUUUUUUGUUUACAAGCAUGGAAAUUAUGGAGGGAAGGCAAUAUUUGGGGAUUAGUAGACAAGGUGAUUUUAGAGUCGAAAUCAUAUUCAAAUAAUGAAAAAGAAAUAUGGAGAUGCAUACAUGUUGGAUUGCUAUGCGUUCAAGAAUAUACUAAAGAUAGGCCCACUAUAUCUACUGUUAUUUCAAUGCUUAAUAGUGAGAUUUCAGAUCUUAACACUCCAAAGCAACCUGCUUUCACUCAAGCACCACAAAUGAGCCAUGAUGUUGAAGAUAGAGGUUCACUUAAUGAUGUAACUCUUACAAACCUUGAUGGUCGAUAAAAAUGUAAUUAGUUAUUUGUAUUGUUUACAAUUAAAGUUCGAGCAAUGAAAUUUAUUUUUAUAUUUUGUUUUGAUGUGUUUUUGUCAUUUUAUUUGUUCCAUUCUAAAGGAUCAUUUUACCAAUAAAGGCCCAUUUUCAUUUUUAUUUAUGAAAAUGGGAUAAAUUUUUCAUUCUUUACCGAAAAUGGUCGAAAAAUGCAAAACGCGUCCAUGUAGGAGUGUUUUUGGGGUGAAAUUUCAGUAAAUCGCGUCCCUAGGGGAACGAUUCUUCCAUGUCAACACAAAACGCUCUAACGUAUACACACUUUGCUAACGUGGAAAAAUCGCUCCCCCAUAGUCUGACGGAAGAUACGUUGAACGAAUAUGGGAUGCGGGGAAAGGGGACUGGAUAAACGGGUACUCUAGUUAUCUAACAGAUUGUGAUGUUUAUGGAAAGUGUGGGGCAUUUGGAAUCUGCGAUUCAACGAAACGACCCAUUUGCAGUUGUUUGAAAGGAUUUAAGCCUAGGAAUAUAGAGGAAUGGAGUAGAGGUAAUUGGAGUAGUGGGUGUUUUAGGACUACCCCUUUGCACUGCCAAAGAGAGAACAACAAUGGAAGUGAAGCAGGCCAAGGAGAUGAUGGGUUUUUUAAGUUAAAGACCGAAUUCAAGUAAAAUUAAAUUAUUUCAGUUUUGCUCGAUUAAGUUCGUUUAUAUAAAUUACAUAUUCGUAUUUGAUUUUAUAUAUAUAUUCAAGGUUGAAUUCGUACUCAUUUCAGGUAUACUUUUAUAUUUAAAUAACGUGGACCAUGUGUUAGAUAAAUUGGGUCGAAGUUUCAUAAACCAAGUUUCCGGAUUUGCAGAUAAAGGGAAAAGUAGUAAGGUCGUCUUUGUUAUUACAACAGUAACUGUGGGCAAUUAUGUAGCCUUCAACUCAUUGCUUCUUUGAUUUCCAUCACAGGAAGGAAUAAAAGACGGACACAGAUCAAAGACAAAUUUCAUGGUGAAAAUAUAGGAGAAAGUUCAAUCGGUGUUAAACUCCAGCAGCUUCCACUAUUUAAUUUCGAAGAACUUGCCACCGCGACCAACAACUUCCAUCCCCAAGAAAAGCUAGGGCAGGGUGGUUUUGGUCCGGUUUACAAGGUAAUAUAUAAUAACUAUUUCCGGUUGUUAGGAUAAUCAUCACCGGCCCAAAGCCGGAUUGUAAUGAGCUCGUAGGCCAGGAUCGUUAGUCGAGAACUUUGUAAGAAAGCAAGUUCAACUUGCGAGCUCACUACAAUCUGACCUAAACCCAUUCAGAUUUUGAACUGAUGAUGAUAAUUAUCCUAAAACUGGUGAAUCUAGAGUCAAUGAAAUGACAAUUUUUUUAAUCAAGUAUUGUAGUCUGAAUUUUGAGUGCAGGGAACAUUGGAUGAUGGAAAGGAAAUAGCAGUGAAGAGAUUGUCGAAAGCUUCGGGGCAAGGUUUGGAAGAAUUUAUGAACGAAGUGGUGGUUAUUUCUAAGCUCCAACAUCGAAAUCUGGUAAAAUUGUUUGGGUGUUGUGUUGAAGCAGAAGAGAAGAUGCUCGUCUACGAGUUUAUGCCCAACAAAAGUUUGGAUUCUUUUCUAUUCGGUUAGUAAUUUAUUCAAAUUUUAUAUGAUAUUUUCGGUCUCUAAUCAAAUUCCUAAUUCAGUUGAAUAGGAUCCCUUGAAAAAAUAAUGUUCUCCCAUAAAUGUUUUUUCCAUUCACAAAAUUUAAAUUUAGGUGUAGUGAUAUUUUGAUUCUCUUCACCGUUUAAUAUUUAUUUCAAUUUAUUGACAUAACUUCAAUUAUGUCUACAAUCAUAAUGAAUACAAUAUGGUAGAAAUACUAUGAUGGUUGUAGUUUAGAUCGUCAAUUAUAGGAAUUCAUUAUUAAUUUAGUGGGUUUUUAUGUUUAAAUUUUGUUAUAGAUCCCGUCAAACAAAAACUCUUGGAUUGGAGAAAACGCUUUAAUAUUAUUGAAGGGAUCAGUCGAGGAUUGCUUUAUCUUCAUAGAGAUUCAAGAUUGAAAAUUAUACACAGAGAUCUAAAAGCAAGUAAUGUUUUACUUGACCAAAAGCUAAACCCAAAAAUUUCAGAUUUUGGGAUAGCCAGGAUCUUCGGAGGUGACGAAAAUCAAGCCAACACUAAAAGGGUUGUUGGAACUUAGUAAGUUGGAACUUCCUUCCUACCAUUUCUUUUUAUGCUCUUUUUAAUAAAAUAUGGUAUAAAUAUGUCUAUGGUCGGAUUUGAUGCUUAAAGAUGAUACAUGUCCAUUCUUGUAUCGAGUUUAAUUUUAUUCAAUUUGUGGACUCAAUUUAUUGUUUUUAAUUUUGUAAAUAAAAUAUUAAAAAUAUAUUUUUAUAUUUUUGUAGUUAACUUUAAAUUAUUUAUUAUUUAUUCUUAAUUCAGGUUGACUCGUGGACAGGUUUAAAUAAGAGCUGUAAUUGGUGUUGUUUUCUAUUGUUAAAAUACAGUGGUUAUAUGUCUCCUGAGUACGCAAUGCAUGGGCGAUUUUCAGAGAAAUCUGACGUGUUCAGCUAUGGAGUUCUACUACUGGAGAUUGUUGGUGGAAGAAGAAACACAAGCUUUUACAACAAGGAUGACCUUAGCCUCUUGGGAUAUCUAAGUUUAUAGGAUAGUUAGAGAUGUUGGUGGAUGGAAUUAGGGUGUAAGAUUUUGUAUUUGCGAGCUAUUCGGGUUCGGUUUGAGAAAACUUGAAUUUGGCUCAGCAAUUAUUGAGUCAAGGAAUCAUGUGAGUUGAAUUUGAGAAUCUUAAUACUUGAAUCGAGUAGCUCACAAGUGAAUUUCAAGAACCCUAAUACUUGAAUUGAGUAGCUUGCAAGGCUUUUCAAUCUUAAUCAAUAUUGAAAAUUUUCAGUUCAAAACUCGAGCUUAAUUACAAAUAAUCAAGUUUGAAUUUAUGCAUAGGAGUGAAGCUCAUUGUAGACUUAGAUAAAACAAGCAGAGUUAGAACACGUCAAUUAACUCUAUUAAAGCUUUAAGAUUAAAAAUUUGAGUCAAGUUAAGCCAAAUGAUUUAGGCAUUAAUUUAGAUAAAAUUGUUUACUGUUUCAGGUCAGGAAAUUAUGGAACGAAGGCAACAUUUGGAACUUAGUAGACAAGGUGAUUUCUGUAACACCCCUUAUAGUAUCCAACACCGGAAUAGAGUACGAGGCAUUACUAGAACACAUACACUUGUAAAUUUAACGUGGCAUAAUCUAGCCACUCCUUGGCCAAAGCCUAAGCAUGUACACCAAAUAUGUUAGCCAAAUACACAUAUAGCAUAAACAUUAUAAGCAUGGAUGAGCACAACAUUUAUUCAUGUAUCACGCUUACCAACAUGUAUUAAUUCAUAAACCAUACAUGACAUUAUUUCAUGCCAAAUCAUAUACCGAAUAUACCAUACACAUAUACUAUGAAACUUUAUUUUCACACAUGAGCUUAAACCAUGACCAAUAAUGCACAAAUAUAUGCAUCAUUUCUAUUUCAUCGUCUAUCAAUUAUAAUUGAGCUUAUGACCAAUUAUACACAAAUCAUUCAUAUAUUUUUCAAUUUUUCCUCCUCCUCCUCUCCAUUCCACAUCCUUAAUGUGUAUAACACAUUUGAACAACAUUAGCUAUAAUUUCACUAUUCACUCACAUGUAUAUUCAAAGUUGUUUAUCCGAGUUAAAGUCACUAAAUUAUUUUUAUCCGGAGCUACAGAGCUCCAAAUUAAGAUCUGUUAAAUUUCCCUAAAACUAGACUCACAUAUAUUCUUACCAUAAAACUUUCAGAAUUUUUGGUUAAGCCAAAUAGUACAUUUUAUUCUUUAAAGUUUCCCCUGUUUCUCUAUCUGACAGUUCAGACCACUCUUCACUAAAAAUGAAUUAUCUAAUUGUACAGAAUUCGGAUAAUGUUUCCGUUUAUUUCUUUUGAAGAUAGACUCAUUAAGUAUUCUAAGCAUAUAAAUUAUAACUCAUAAUUAUUUUUAUUCAAAUUUUUAUGAUUUUCCAAAUUCAGAACAGGGGAACCCGAAAUCAUUCUGACAUUGUCUCACAAAACUUAUUAUAACUCAUAAUUUACAACUCCAUUACUUACACCGUUUCUUCUCUGAGAAACUAGGCUCAAUAAGAUUUAAUUUAAUAUUUUAUUCACCCUAUAAUUAAAUUCCCACAAUUUUUGGAGAUUUUUCAAAGUUAAACCACUGCUGCUGUCCAAAACUGUUUUAGUGUAAAAUGUUGAUUUCCAUUUUGCCCCAAAUUUCACAGUUCAUACAAUUCAGUUCUUGCUCAAUUAACCCCUCAAUUAAGCUAAAUUUUCUCAAUUAUUACUUUAGAUAGAAAUUAUAAAUUAUUUCACAACUAUUGAAAUUCAUAAUUUCCACAUAAAACCCUAACUUCAAACUCUUUUACUAUUAGGUCCCAAACAUUCACUUUCUAUUCAAUUCUUUCAAUAAAAUCAGCAUAUGAACAAUUUAAAGCUCUAAUUCCAUGCUAAAUAAUCAUAUAUUUACAGCAUGUAUUCAUAGAAACUUUCAAAUUCUUUCAUAGAACCAAAAACUAAUGAAUACAACAAGUGGGCCUAGUUGUAAAAGUCACAAAAACAACAAAAUUUUCAAGAAAUAAUCAAGAAUUGAACUUACCUGAAGUAAAAAUAGGAAUAACCAGCUUAAGGAAACCCUUCUAUGGUGUUUUUGCUGAUGAGAAUGCAGAAAAAUAAAGAGAAAUCUAGAUAAUUCCACUUUGGUCCUAACUUUAUUAAGUAAAUUUUGCAAUAUUCACAUUUUGCCCUUAAUUCUCCUUACUUUGUUGCUGAUUUCAUGCCCUUGCCGUCCAGUCCAAAUAGACCUUGGGUCUAUUUGCCUUUUAAGCCCUCUUCCUUUUAUCAUUUAAGCUAUUUAAUCAUUUCCCAUAAUUUUGCAUUUGUUACAAUUUAGUCCUUUUUGUUCAAUUAAUUAUCGGAACUUUAAAAUUUCUUAACGAAACUUUAAUACUAACUUUUUAACACUCCAUAAAUAUUUAUAAAAAUAUUUAUGGCUCGGUUUAAAAUCCUCGAGGUCUCGAUACCUCAUUUUCGAUUCUAAUUAUUUUAAUAUUUAUUUCUAGUGCACUAUUCACUAUUUCAAAAAUUUUCCUAACUUCACAUUUAACUUAUACUCACUAAAUUAAUAAUAUUUUCUACCCAUUUUUCGAAUUAAGUGAUCUCGAAUCACCGUUCCGACACCUCUGAAAAUUCAGGCCAUUAUAUUUUUUUUCUCGUCGGAUUUGUGGUCCCAAAACCACUGUUCCGACUAGACCCAAAAUCGGGCUGUUACAUUUGUGGUUCCAAAACUACUGUUCGGACUAGACCCAAAAUCGGGCUGUUACAAUUUCAAAGUCAGAAUCAAAUUUAAAGAAUAAGAAAGAAAUAUGGAGAUGCAUACAUGUUGGAUUGCUAUGCGUUCAAGAAUAUGCUAAAGAUAGGCCUACUAUAUGUCUACUAUUGUUUCAAUGCUCCUACUAUAUGUCUACUAUUGUUUCAAUGCUUAACAGUGAGAUUUCAGAUCUUAACACUCCAAAACAACCUGCUUUCACUCAAGCACUAUUAAUUAGCAAUGAUUUUGAAGAUUGUAUUUCAUUUAAUGAUGUAACUCUGACGGGCUUUGAUGGUAAAUAAAAAUACAAAUUAAUUAUUUGUAGUGUUUACAAUUAAAGUUCAAGCAGUAAAAUUUAUUUUUAUAUUAUGUUUUGAUAUGUUUUAUCAUUUUAUUUUGAUCAUAAUUUGUCAUUUUAUUUGUUCCAUUCUAGAGUGAAUUUACCAUUAUAUGUAAACACGGUAACUUUGUCCCCAAACUUGAAAACUCGAUUUUAUCAAAUCCAAACCUAAACUUGACCUAACUUGAGUUGAAUAUAAAAGAUCAACAAUUUGAACCCGUUCACCUUAAACUCAAAAAUGAUCUAAAACCUAGAAUGAUUUGAAUUUAAAGUGAUCAAAUUCAAAAUUUCUUAAAUACAUAACUCGAAAUGUUCUGAGCCUAAUAUGACCUAACGUGAAAAACCCAACUUACAAUAGCUUCAACCUAAACUAAUUCAAAUUCAAAAUUAUUCAAAAAAUUUAAAAUUCGAAUUUAGUUCAUUCAAAACCAGUCCAAAAUAGAUUCAAUUAUACUUUAUGUCACUAUUUGUGAUGAUUAUCACUUUUGUUUAUUGAAUUUUGCGGGGUAAAAAAGCUUAUGAAGUUUUUAAAAAAAUUAUUAAGUCAUUCGAUAAAAAAUGCAUUCAAUUAUACUCUUAAAUUUGAAAAUUGUAUCAAGUAAGCUCUUUAGUCAAUGAAAUCCGUCCUUGAUCUUUAAUUUUGUUAGAAGUUGCUGAUGUAGUAGUUAAUAAUUGUCAAAGCAUUCAUUUUCUUUCAAGCGCAGUCCAAAGUAGUAGAUAAUGUGUCAACUUAACGACAUGGGAAUUGGAGAAUAAAUUUAAAGAGAUUAUUAAUUAAACUAUUAAAUGUAAUUAAUUAAACUUAAUGAUAGUUAUCAAAUCAUUCGUUUUCUUCCAAGUCGCAAGCACGAGCGAUCGGUACAUCCAAACCUAAUCAUAAACAAAACAUAGAAUUAGUUAAAGUCAAUAUCUACCCCUAAAAUUGAAAGGAAGUAAGGUCAAUCCCAUAGAAAUUGAUCUAAUUAAAUCUGAAUUUUGUUAUAACUAGAAUGUGUCGUAGGCAGUUUUCAUUUCCACAACUCAUGCCAAUAUGUAUGAAACAGAAAGGGGAUUAAAUUGAAAUAUAAAAUAAAUAAUAAGAAAAUAAAUAUAGUACAAAGAUUAAACAUUUCUAUCUUUCAGCAUUAGACCUCAAAGUUUUUAUCCCUUACAAUUAACUCCCUAACAACUAGACCUGUUCAUGGGUCGAGUCACUCAGCCUGGCCCCGAAAAGUGGGAGGGUUUGGGCAAAAUAAAGGUCCAAAAAAUGACUUUGAGCAAAAAAUAAUGCCCGUUUAAAAAACGAGUUGGGCUUUGAGUAAAGCAUUUUUUGCCCGGGUUUGGCCUGGCCUGAAUUCACAGAAGAACAAAAGAGCUACUAAUUUUUGUUAUUUUAAUGCUAUUUUCUUGUUAUUUUCUCCCUAUUUUGCUACCAUUUCACUAUUAUGUUACUACUAUUUUGUUGUUAUUGUUUGGAUAUUGUAUAACACUUGUUUUAUUAUUACUUUUUUUAUUAUUUUAGAGGCAUUUGCUUGUUAAGUUGUAUUUAUCUUAGUGUUAUUUAAGGAUAUAUACAUGUUUUUUAAAGUUUAUUAAUUUUAAUGUUUUAGUAUUUUGAUAUAUUAUAUAUUUAAAAAUUAUAUAAAAAAUUAAUACGGGUGGGUCAGACCUAAGUUUUAGUAUUUUUAUCCGAACUGGGUCUGGAUAAAAUUUUGAUAUAGGGGUGAGCAUUUGAUCGAAUCAAGUGAAAAAAUUUUGAGUUUAUGAGUCAUAUUUUAUCAUCCUAACUCAAUUUGAAAAUUUUUUCGAAUCGAGUCGAGUGAAAUGAAAUUCGAGUCAAGUCGAAUCGAAUCGAAUCGAGUGAAAUUGUUCAAAUUAAAUUAAAAAAAUUAAACAUUUCAAAUAAAAAUAUUAUUACAGUAUAACUAAUUCCAUAUUAGAGCACAUAAAUUUGAAUUUUUUUUGAAGCAAAAAAAGAAGAAGAAAGAAAGAUACUUGAGUAUGAUAAAUUUGAAUCAUUACUUAAGUCUCCAAGAUUAUUGUGUUAGAAUAUUUUUAAAAUAUUAACUCUUUUUAUAUAUUUUUAGAAUUUUUUAAAAAUAUAUAAUUUUUGAAGUUUUUAUAAAUAUUUUGAAUUUUAAAAAUUAUUUUGAAUUUUAUUUGUAAUUUUUGUUGAGGGAGAGACCAAUUUGCUUAUUUUCAGAAUUGACAAGAACCAAAAUGAUGUUUAUACCAAUCUGUUAUUUGAAUUAUUGGAGUUAUACGAAUUGUGAAAUUCAACUCGACUUGAACUCGAAAUCCAAAUUGAGUUAUUCGAGUUAACUCGAAUAAUUCAAAUAACUCGAAAUUAAAAAAUACUUAGAUUUUUUUCCAAUCGAGUCGAAUUUUGCUCACACCUAAAAAGAUAGAAAAAAUAAGUUAUAACUUGAUUCACGAACAUGUCUGAUGUAACUAUAUUCCAAGAUUUAAAUAGUAGCAGCAAUGUAAAAUUUUGACUCUUUUCAUUGUUCAAUAUUUAUUUCAAUUAAUCGACAUAACAUCAGUUACAUCUACAAUCACUAAGGUAGAAAACACAACAAUAAUUAUAGUUUAGAUUCACUAUUAUAGGAAUUACUGUUAAUCUUGGAGGUCUCCAUGUUUAAUUUUUAUAUAAUAUAUCCCGUUGGACCCAAAAAGGAAGCAUUCCUCCCCUCCUUUGGAUUUUCUAAUACAUGUUUAAUCACUAUUAAUAAGUUAAUUUUAAAAUUUUCACGAUUUUACAUAUAUCUGCCACAUUUAAAUAGUAAUAAUCAUUAUAUUAGAUAUUAAUAAAUGAAAAAUUGGAACGGAUAUUAACCCAUAUACACAUCGAAAACGCUCUUCCCUUUCUAACCAAUUUCCAUCAAUGCAUUGGAUUAUAUGGCUACUUAAAUUUCACUUUGAAGUUAAAUUUGUAAUAUUUCAAAUAAUUGGUUUAAUACAUUAUAAUGUUGUACUAAUUUUAUAUAUUUAUACAAAUUUUAUUUAACAAAUUGAAUUUUAGUUUAGUAAUAUAAUUUUUUCACAUUAAGUUUUCAAUUAAUUUGAUAUAUAUGUUAUUUGAGAAUACAAUUUUAUAUAUUUUUAAUGGUUGAAUUUUUUUAUAUUAAACAAAUAAAUAUACUUUUUAACAUAUUCCAAUUUUGAUAACAUGAAAUUAAACAAAUAUAGAUCUUAUAAAAAGAAAAACUAAGGAUCAAUAUUUUCCUACAAAUGAUCAAUAUGCAUGGUGUUACUUUCCUUUUUUUAGUUUGAGAUCAUUUGGUGUUUAGUUUCAAUUAAAUUUAGAAAUUUUUAUCGGGUUUCAAUUAAAUUUAGGUCUCAACACUAUAGUCUAUAUCCACAAAAUUAAACUCGAAAUCUUAGUUAAGGAACAUUGAACUCAGGGUGGUGCCAAGGAUGCUAACAAAGGUUUUGUUCGCCUGCUUUUCCCUCCCCAAAAAAGGAAAUCUCACUUUUGGUCUUUUAAAGUUUAUAGAAUUUUAAAUUAAUAUAUAGUAAAUUUAUACUUUUAACUUCCAAAAAUAUUAAAAUUUUGAUUUAGUCCUUUAAAAUUAUAAGAUAUAAGUUAUUAAAAUGGUAAAAUUGCAUUUUAUCUCUCACAAAAAUAUAUAACUUAAUUCCAACCCCUAGAAAAAUUUUCUGACUUUCCCCCUAAUUAAACUUCUGAUCACUCAGUCCAACAUCUGUAGCUAAACAAAUAAUCUUAUUUGUAAGAUCCGUAUAACAAAGGGAUAAAUAUCAAAACUACACAUAAAAUUUGAUCUAAUAUGCAAUUUGAUAUAUGAACUUUGAUUUGAUGCAAUUAUACACAUCAAACAUGGAUUAUAAUUCAAAUGUGUAUAUAAAACAUUUAAAGAAAUAAAUACAUUACUUUAUUUUUUGUAUUAGAUAAAUUAAAUUAUUUAUGUAUGUAAUAAAAAUACAAAAUUAUAUUAUAUCAAUAAUUUAUAAAAUUAAAAUAAAAAAGUUUUCAUAUAUAAAAUCAUAAAUUUUUAGAUUUAUCCGUAUAGCAAACAACUCCCAAGUUGUGGGACAUAUAAGCCAUGCAUGCGUCAUAUCAAACGUACAAAAAAACUUCUAAAGAUUGGGAAAUACUAAGUCAAUGUGUCUGUGUGCUGAAAGAAUGUUGAAUUCAAUUAUAAUUCUACAAAUAAUGCACUUGUAAGUCCAUAAUAUAAAUAAAUGAACAUGAAAUUACUUUAUCAUGUCAUAUUCCAUGAUUUGCUGACAGGAUCUUUAUCGUCCACCUUCUUUUCUUGGCAAAUUAAGAAAGACCAACUUAAGCUCCAAGCAAGUCUAGUGGGGGUCCUUCUGUCUAAUACUUUAAAUUAUGCAUUUAAUUGAUUUUAGUAGCUAAAUUUUAUUAUUAGAUUGAUUUUAUGUGUAAGUUGCAACUCUAUUCUUUAGAUUGAAUUUUUAAAUCCUUAAUAUUUUUGGAUUUUAAAAUUCAAUCCUAACUCAAACGAAAGUAGUUAAAUUCAUUAAGUAAUAUAAUACCGUUUUUGUGAGUAUUAUUUGUAAAUAAAAAGUUAAUAUAAUAUAUUUGUUGUAUAAUAUUUUAAAAAUAAUGAAUCUAAUUGCUAUCAUUUGAGUUACACAUAAUUUAAAGUAUUUAAUUGUUUUAUAAAUCAAAAUAUAGUAUCGGUGCCCCUAAUCCUAUGAUAAAAAAAUUAUAUUAAAUGAAGUUUUAGGUCCAGAAUUCAAUUUUUUGGACAUCCUAUACCCUGAUUGUAUUUGUGUGAACAUGGGGGCACAUGAGUUGAGUUUUUGGUACUCCGAUGGAAGAAAGAGCCAACAAAGAUAUAGAAAAUUAAGAGUAAUUGACACUUCCAGAAAAUUUCCAUAAGUCAAAAUGAGAUUACGUAUAUACAAAAAAAAAAAAAAAUUGAGAUGUAGAUCACUAGAUGUAAACAUUUGAGGCUGCCAUGAAACAUCAUUACACCAUAUCAAUAUCAGACCCUAAGAAAGAGUCAAUUUCUGUAGAAGGUCCCUACCCUAUAUAUAUUUUGUGAAUUUAGUCCUUUCAUAUAAUUCGGUAUUUUUAAUCUCUCCUAGGUUUAGAAAUUACAAAUUCAAUUGAUAAAGAUGGACACAAAAAUUGGUUAUACAAAUCAAAAAACUUUUUUGCAUUUGAAACUUCACCCAAAAUCUAAUUUAUUAUCAAUAUGCAGUGUAAGAAGUGACUAAGACUCAGAAACCAUAAUGAGAUACACGAAUGUAAUCUAUAAUGAUCAUAAAACGAUCAAUUUUUCAUAUAUUGAACUGGAUAACGAGCUAUGAUAUAUAUACACAAUCUGUCAAACUAAUUACAACCACCUUAACUGCUAUUGUUAACUACUAACUGUCAUAACAGUUUUAUUAAUUCUUAACAUUCCGUAAAGAGACUUUUUUUGAUGUCUUAAAUCAACAAUGUAAAUUUUAAGAAGAAAACAGUGGAAAGCAAAUUAAACUUGCAUUUUGGGUGGAAGAUAAAUGAGCCAAGUUAAACCUGCAUGACAAGCUAGAAGUAAUAAUUUCCAUGAACAGGUAGUGAUUAUAUACUAUUACCUUAGAAUGUUAAUCUUUUCAUCUUAUUUUUGAAGACAGAAAACAAAUUACAUGAAAAUAUUUUGUACACGAGUAGUGCACUAGCGUGAAUGACAUUGUAGUCAAUGAUUUUGGUAUACUUUUUCACAAAGUAAAGCGGAUAAUUCGGUUUUUGGAAGGUUACUUAAAAAUUGCUUUCAUUUUAAAUCUUGUUUUUAAUCAUUAUCCAUACGUUGGAUUUGUAGAUCCACUAAUAAAAUAGCUCAUUCGUUGGCCAGAACGGCUUUAUCUCGAACUACACCAACUUUUUACGAAGUCCUUUCUAUUUUGGAUAUUUUGAAUGCUAUUGUUCUUCUAAUUUUGGUGAAAAUGGGGAGAACUAAAAUUAGGUGUAUUGGAAACCUAUUGGCUUGCGAGUAGAUUCUCUCCUAUUUUUACCUCUUAUUGUCAUUUACUAUAUGAGUUUUACUUUUAAAAAAGAAAGAAAGAAAUGGUAGCUCAAAUACUAGCCCUACUUCAACCCGUAUAGCACCCCCUCGCCAUACGCUAUUGUUAGGAUUGUGACGUGAAAAUAGCUUGCAAAUCCGAUAAAAUGUGUAACAGCUAUAUCAACGGAGCGUAAUAAUCUGGCAAAGAAAAUCAGACCCCCUCAUACGCUGUUAUUAGGAUCGUGACAUGAAAUAGCAUGCAAACCCGACUAAAUAUGCAACGACGAUAUCACCGGAACUAACCCCUAUAAUAAUUUGGCAAAGAAAAUCAGACCCCCUUCCCCGAAAACACAGUUGUUAAGAUUGCGACAUCACUGGAGAACAGCGAUAUCAACAGAACUAACACUUUUUUAUAUUUUGCAUACUUUGUCCACAUUAAUUGCAAUAUUCUAGUUUAGUCUUUUCGUCUCCUUCAUACUCCUUCAAGAAAUCCCAAACUUCAAAGGUUAAUUUCAUUGUCAUCAUUCUGAGAAAGAUUUCAGAUGAGGCUGCAACAAAUAAUGUAGCUCUUGCCUCUGAUUUUCUUGAUUCUCUCAUUGUAAUUCUUGAUUUGCACCAUAGCCGGAUUGACAGGUAAUGAAAGAACUUGGUAGUCCUUCUCCAUGGCUUCCCAGAAAUCAUUUUCCUCUAGAUGAGCCUCUAUCCUUGCUGCCCAAACAUGGGAACCUUCACUAUUGAAAAUAGGUGGUGCAAGUGCAGUGAAAGGGAUUUCUGAAUCCAUAUAGAAGAAGAAAGAGAGAAAAAAUUUUCCUUAGUUACAGGUCCCUCAAGAAGAUAAUUCUGAUACCUAUUUAUUGAAGUUUUUGAAGAAAAAUUUAUUGUAAAAAGAAAACAACAAAAACAAGAGGAAAAUAUAAAUAAUUUUUAUGGAAAGUGUUUUCAUUUAUUAAACUAAAAACUAGUGUUUAUAUAGAAAAACAACAACUAUUGACUAAAACUAGACUACUAAAAUAUUCAUAAUCUCUAAACAUCAGCAACAAAUAAAAAAUUGUUAAAAUUAAUUAGAUUAAUUUGUUAUAGUAGGUGAAGCAAAUCUUCAACAUGAUUAUUGGAACUGGUGCUUCAUUUGCUCAUUUUAUGAGUGGGGUAUGAAUUUUAGAGGGCAUGCAAAAAGAAAAGGAAGAAGAAAGAAAAAAAUAAAAAAAAAAAGAAGAAAAAGGAAAAAUUAUGACACCAUGCAUUUGGGGCUUUCAAAUCUUUACAAACAUAAGAGUGGUAGUUCUAACUAUCUUUCAUGAGGGAAACUUUUCUACGAAAAUAUUUAAGCAUGAGGUGAUAAAUGACCUUCUUUCCCUGUCCAUAGUUAUCAUUUGUUGUCUUAUUUUGAGGUUCAUCGAAUUUUCUUACGAAUAAACUCAGUCCAUAGUUAGAUCAACUUGUAAAUAGAUCGAACACCAAUUUUAUAGUGAAAAUAUAGGAGAAAUUUCAAUCGAAGUUAAACUCCAGCAGUUGCCACUUAUCUAGUUUCAUAGAACUCGCCACUACGAUAAACAACUUCCAUCACGCAAAAAAGCUAAGGCAAGGUGGCUACUGUCCAGUUUACAGGGUAAUAAACAAUGGUGAUUUCUUUCUACCAAGUCUUAUGAAUCGAAUUUUGUGUGCUGGGAACAUUAGAUGAUGGAAAGGAAAGAGCAUUUAAGAGAUUGUCAAAAGGUUCGGGCCAAGGGUUGGAAGGAUUUAUGAAUGAAGUGGUGGUGAUUUCAAAUCUGGUUAGAUUAUUUGGGUGCUGUGUUGACGGAGAAGAGAAGAUGCUGGUCUUUGAGUACAUGUCUAACAAAAGUUUGGACGCGUUUCUCUUUGAUUAUUAACUUAAUCUAAUUUUUUUAGUUUUUAUUAGUGAUUUUUCAGUAUUAGAUAGUUAUAUUGAACCUCAAUUAAAUUUAAAGUUAAAUUAAGUUCAACUUUAAAGGAGAGGCAAAGUUUUUCGAGAACUAUUAAAUUUUGAAUAUAAUUUUCCAAAAAUGUUAGGCAAAGAAAAGCACUAACUUAUGCCACAAAGUAUACUGUAAUUUGGUAAGAGACCUUUUUUUUUCCCUUAACAAGACUCGGUCAUUGCUAAAAUAAUUUUGAAAAAAAAAAGAAAAAAGGAAUGUGCUUCAUUAGUCAAAGUUAUUCUAAAUUCAUCGGUUUGACAAAAGCUACCUAUAUUAGUCAAAGUUAUUUAAAUAUCGUCUUGGUCUGUAACUUCUGGAAGUUCUCGUAAUUAAUUAAGUCAUUUUUAUUUUCCUCAUUCAAAAUGAAAUUUUUAUAAUUCCGAUAUUUAAUUUUUAGGGUGAUUUAUUUUAGUCACUAAAUUAGUAAGGACUAAAGUAAAAAAGUAGUAGAAACUAAAAUAAUGNNNNNNNNNNNNNNNNNNNNNNNNNNNNNNNNNNNNNNNNNNNNNNNNNNNNNNNNNNNNNNNNNNNNNNNNNNNNNNNNNNNNNNNNNNNNNNNNNNNNNNNNNNNNNNNNNNNNNNNNNNNNNNNNNNNNNNNNNNNNNNNNNNNNNNNNNNNNNNNNNNNNNNNNNNNNNNNNNNNNNNNNNNNNNNNNNNNNNNNNNNNNNNNNNNNNNNNNNNNNNNNNNNNNNNNNNNNNNNNNNNNNNNNNNNNNNNNNNNNNNNNNNNNNNNNNNNNNNNNNNNNNNNNNNNNNNNNNNNNNNNNNNNNNNNNNNNNNNNNNNNNNNNNNNNNNNNNNNNNNNNNNNNNNNNNNNNNNNNNNNNNNNNNNNNNNNNNNNNNNNNNNNNNNNNNNNNNNNNNNNNNNNNNNNNNNNNNNNNNNNNNNNNNNNNNNNNNNNNNNNNNNNNNNNNNNNNNNNNNNNNNNNNNNNNNNNNNNNNNNNNNNNNNNNNNNNNNNNNNNNNNNNNNNNNNNNNNNNNNNNNNNNNNNNNNNNNNNNNNNNNNNNNNNNNNNNNNNNNNNNNNNNNNNNNNNNNNNNNNNNNNNNNNNNNNNNNNNNNNNNNNNNNNNNNNNNNNNNNNNNNNNNNNNNNNNNNNNNNNNNNNNNNNNNNNNNNNNNNNNNNNNNNNNNNNNNNNNNNNNNNNNNNNNNNNNNNNNNNNNNNNNNNNNNNNNNNNNNNNNNNNNNNNNNNNNNNNNNNNNNNNNNNNNNNNNNNNNNNNNNNNNNNNNNNNNNNNNNNNNNNNNNNNNNNNNNNNNNNNNNNNNNNNNNNNNNNNNNNNNNNNNNNNNNNNNNNNNNNNNNNNNNNNNNNNNNNNNNNNNNNNNNNNNNNNNNNNNNNNNNNNNNNNNNNNNNNNNNNNNNNNNNNNNNNNNNNNNNNNNNNNNNNNNNNNNNNNNNNNNNNNNNNNNNNNNNNNNNNNNNNNNNNNNNNNNNNNNNNNNNNNNNNNNNNNNNNNNNNNNNNNNNNNNNNNNNNNNNNNNNNNNNNNNNNNNNNNNNNNNNNNNNNNNNNNNNNNNNNNNNNNNNNNNNNNNNNNNNNNNNNNNNNNNNNNNNNNNNNNNNNNNNNNNNNNNNNNNNNNNNNNNNNNNNNNNNNNNNNNNNNNNNNNNNNNNNNNNNNNNNNNNNNNNNNNNNNNNNNNNNNNNNNNNNNNNNNNNNNNNNNNNNNNNNNNNNNNNNNNNNNNNNNNNNNNNNNNNNNNNNNNNNNNNNNNNNNNNNNNNNNNNNNNNNNNNNNNNNNNNNNNNNNNNNNNNNNNNNNNNNNNNNNNNNNNNNNNNNNNNNNNNNNNNNNNNNNNNNNNNNNNNNNNNNNNNNNNNNNNNNNNNNNNNNNNNNNNNNNNNNNNNNNNNNNNNNNNNNNNNNNNNNNNNNNNNNNNNNNNNNNNNNNNNNNNNNNNNNNNNNNNNNNNNNNNNNNNNNNNNNNNNNNNNNNNNNNNNNNNNNNNNNNNNNNNNNNNNNNNNNNNNNNNNNNNNNNNNNNNNNNNNNNNNNNNNNNNNNNNNNNNNNNNNNNNNNNNNNNNNNNNNNNNNNNNNNNNNNNNNNNNNNNNNNNNNNNNNNNNNNNNNNNNNNNNNNNNNNNNNNNNNNNNNNNNNNNNNNNNNNNNNNNNNNNNNNNNNNNNNNNNNNNNNNNNNNNNNNNNNNNNNNNNNNNNNNNNNNNNNNNNNNNNNNNNNNNNNNNNNNNNNNNNNNNNNNNNNNNNNNNNNNNNNNNNNNNNNNNNNNNNNNNNNNNNNNNNNNNNNNNNNNNNNNNNNNNNNNNNNNNNNNNNNNNNNNNNNNNNNNNNNNNNNNNNNNNNNNNNNNNNNNNNNNNNNNNNNNNNNNNNNNNNNNNNNNNNNNNNNNNNNNNNNNNNNNNNNNNNNNNNNNNNNNNNNNNNNNNNNNNNNNNNNNNNNNNNNNNNNNNNNNNNNNNNNNNNNNNNNNNNNNNNNNNNNNNNNNNNNNNNNNNNNNNNNNNNNNNNNNNNNNNNNNNNNNNNNNNNNNNNNNNNNNNNNNNNNNNNNNNNNNNNNNNNNNNNNNNNNNNNNNNNNNNNNNNNNNNNNNNNNNNNNNNNNNNNNNNNNNNNNNNNNNNNNNNNNNNNNNNNNNNNNNNNNNNNNNNNNNNNNNNNNNNNNNNNNNNNNNNNNNNNNNNNNNNNNNNNNNNNNNNNNNNNNNNNNNNNNNNNNNNNNNNNNNNNNNNNNNNNNNNNNNNNNNNNNNNNNNNNNNNNNNNNNNNNNNNNNNNNNNNNNNNNNNNNNNNNNNNNNNNNNNNNNNNNNNNNNNNNNNNNNNNNNNNNNNNNNNNNNNNNNNNNNNNNNNNNNNNNNNNNNNNNNNNNNNNNNNNNNNNNNNNNNNNNNNNNNNNNNNNNNNNNNNNNNNNNNNNNNNNNNNNNNNNNNNNNNNNNNNNNNNNNNNNNNNNNNNNNNNNNNNNNNNNNNNNNNNNNNNNNNNNNNNNNNNNNNNNNNNNNNNNNNNNNNNNNNNNNNNNNNNNNNNNNNNNNNNNNNNNNNNNNNNNNNNNNNNNNNNNNNNNNNNNNNNNNNNNNNNNNNNNNNNNNNNNNNNNNNNNNNNNNNNNNNNNNNNNNNNNNNNNNNNNNNNNNNNNNNNNNNNNNNNNNNNNNNNNNNNNNNNNNNNNNNNNNNNNNNNNNNNNNNNNNNNNNNNNNNNNNNNNNNNNNNNNNNNNNNNNNNNNNNNNNGCUUGAAUUGGGUAGCUUGCAAGGUGACAUGGAGAGUCCUAAUACUUGAAUUGAGUAUAAGCUCUCUUUUUUGCUUUAAAUAUAUAUUGAACAUUUUCAAUUAAAAUUUGAGUUUGAUUACAAUAUCGAGUUUAAGUUGAGCCUAAGAAUGAAGCUCAAUUUAGACAUAGGUAAACAAGCUUAAGUAAGAAAUUUUGAGCAAUUGGAUCUUUAUAUAUGUUGAAUUGAGCUAAUAAAAAUCUAUUUAGACUUUGUGUUUAUAAUUUUGAGUUGAUUUAGGUUGAAAAGUUUAGGUAUUAAUUUAGACAAAUUUUCUUUUCUAUUCUCGGGCAUGGAAAUUGUGGAGGGAAGGCGAUAUUUGUGGCAUAGUAGACAAAGUGAUUUUAGAAUCAGAAACAUAUUCAAGGAAUGGAAAUGAAAAAGAAAUAUGGAGAUGCAUACAUAUUGGUUUGCUAUGUGUUCAAGAAUUUGCUAAAGAUAGGCCCACUAUGCCUACAAUUGCUUCAAUGCUUAAUAAUGAGAUUUCAGAUCCUAACACUCCAAAACAACCUGCUUUCACUGAAGCACCACUAAUGAGUCAUGAUGUUGAAGAUAGGGUUUUACUUGAUGAUGUAACUCUUACAAACCUUGAUAGCCGAUAGAGAUGCAAAUUAAUUAUUUGUAGCGUUUAGAAAUACAAUUUUAAGUAUUGAAAUUUAUCUUUUAUAUUCAACCUAUUUUUUUCAUUUUAUUUCUAUGAUAAUUGUAAUUUUAUUUGUUCCAUUCUAGUGAAUUUACCAUUAUAUUCAAACAUGGCAGUUUAAUGCUAAAACCGAAAAUUCAUUUGAUGAAAUUCAAAUUCAAACUCGAUCCAAUUGAAUUUGAACAAAAAAAAAUCAAAAAUUUAAACUUGUUCAAUCCAAACUUGAAAAUAAUUUAAAACCCAAAAUAAUUUAAAAUUAAAAUAUGCAAACCCAAAUUUACCUAACCCAAAAUUCUUCCAUUGUUUUUGGCGGAUUCAUUGUUUUGGGUCAAAGCAUCAUUCCAAUCUUGCGGCCAUAAUCUUCCAUGAUAUAGUUAGUGUUAUAAGUCUUCCACUAGCUAGUACAGUUCCUCUUAAGUUGGGGAUGUAUCUUUCACUGAUCUUUCCCGGCAACUCCCCCGUAUGUCCUCUCUGUCGAAACCUUUUUUUGUAAAAGGGGUCGACUUUUUAUUUAAAAACGAAAAUGGGAGUCGCCACAAAUCCUUUUUAUUAGGUGUGAUCGGAUCACCUCGUAAUUUGAUCGUUUUAAUAAAUAGUUUGAUUUAUUAAAACAUUAUUUUUCAGUCUACAAAAAUCCAGAAAACGAGUUCGAGAGUCGGUUACGCACGAGGAAGGAUUAGCACCCUCGAUACGCCCAAAAUUGGUACCUAGUUGAUUAAUUAAUGUCUAAAUGUCGAAAUUUGAAAUUUUGAGAAGAUUUUAAAAUACGAUCCUUUUUUUAUUAAUAUUAUCUUAAAAAUGCUUGAAUGAAUCGAAAAGAAAAUUAAAGACCCCUUUGUCUCGGGGUAACGGAAUGUCACGUCCCAUAAGUUGGGACACGACACUUGGAACCCUCGAGAAUAGGCUUGCCAUUAAUUUUUAUUGAAAUUCCAUGUAUCUUGAAGUUUAAAAGGAUACUUUUGCCAUUUAGGUUUAAUGAGAAAAUCGAAACCCUAUAAGUUAGAGUAUGAUUUCUUGAAUCACCAAAAUGCGAAAUGUUGCCCUAUUUUGAAAAUUUUCCUUUUUUCAAUUUGAGUAAGAACUAACGUGAUUUUUAAUAAGACAUAUGCUUAAUUUAUUUAAACAUCGUAUGGCAGUGAACAAAUAUAUUUUUUUCUAAAACAUAAUGUAUGAUACAACAAUAAUGAAAUAAUGUAAAAUAACCAUGUGGGUAAAAUAUUUAAAAGAUAAAUAAUGGGAUACAACAAUAAUAAUGAUGUGAUAUUGAUAAUUAAAUUGCAACAACAAUAAAUGAAGCAACAUAAAAUAAAAUAAAAUAAAAUGAAAAUAAGAACCACAUAAUAAGAAAAAGUAACCAUAACUGAAAAUCUAAUAAUUAAAAGAAAUGAUAAAUCAAUAAAAUAUAAAGAAACAAGCAAAAUAAUAAUAAUAAUAAUAAUAAUAGAGACAAUACAAAUAUAAUAAUCUAUUUUAAAAUUUAUUUUUAAUGAAAAAUGUUGGAAAAGUAAUAAAUAAAUAAUAAAUAAAAGUGAAUAGGUAAAGUAAAUAAACAAAAUAAUAAAUAAAAAAAGUCGACAGUAUGCUGCCCAGGAGUAAAUUGCAAUCUGGGCAACACUUUAGGGUGGAUUUCUUAAAGAAAUAAAAGAUAAGGUCGAUCGAGGGAUUAAAACAAAACACGCGCAAAUGUGCGUAGGCCUAAAGGGAAAUAUUCCCAUGUCAUUUGAACGACGCCGUUUUAUGGAGCAGCAUAUGCGCAUGGUCUAAGGACCAAAUUGAAUCGAAAGAAAAACUUUGUGGCCAAAAUCAAAAAUAAAAAAGGCCGCAUUGAAUACGCCGCAAAGGCGGAGGGGCUUAUUGCACAAACAGCCACUUUAACGAAAAUGCGCGGAUCCUCCCUGGCGGGUCAGGUCGUGCGCUCGGGUUAAAGGGCUAAACGAUGUCGUUUUGGGGCUUAAGGACGCCGACCAAAACGGCGUCGUUUUAUUUAGGCUAUUUAAGCCAAAAAAAUUUAAAAAAACACAUUUCUCUCAUUCCCUUAAAAAAAAAUUUUGAAACACUCUCCCCUCCCUCUCAGCCUUGAUCUCUAUCCCAGAGUCCGAUCGACCGCCGUCGUGCACGGUGGCUGGAAAGUUUAAAAACCCCCCCUUUUCGUUCUUUUUUUAGUAGAGCCCCGAUUUGGGGUUAAAACGGCCCGAAGGGCUCCCAAAAUUUGAGAAAAUAAAGAAAAAAAGGAGAAAAAUUAAGAGAUUUUUUGACUCUCCGUCAUCGCCGAUAGGGUUUUCAACGAUCCCACUGGCUCGAUCGCCUUCAAGAUUGGAGAAACCUCCGUCCACGGCGCUAAAAGUACAAGGUUUCCUUUAUUUUCUAUUAUUGUUUAUUUCUAAAUUAUAAAAAUAUAAAAAAAAAUAAAGCACCUUUUUUCUUUCGAAUUUGUUUAAAGAUCUCAUUGUCUUCAAAAUCAGUGUGUGUCUGAAAAAAUUACAAAAAUGAUGCUCGGGCUUUUAUAGCCGAAGUACAAUAUUUGUUUUUGUUUUGUUUUCUUUUGUUUGCUUCUAUUUCUUUCUUUUCGCUUCUGUUGUCUUCUUUUGCUUGCGUGUUGCAGGUGGUGGCAGAGGCGUGCGACGCGUCGAGGUGAAGUGCAGCGGCCAAAGGCAAAAGACCCAGGUGCGGCAGACCUAGGGUUAGCAAUUUGUUUUUUCUGCUAAGGGUAUUGGGCUAGGAUUUUUUUGUUGGGCUAUUUGGGUUUGAUUGAAUAGUGGGCUGGUCUGAUUAGGCCUGCUGGACUGUAAUUUUGGACUAUUUAUUAUUUUUUUGGGUUUUAUUUCUAUUUAUUUUGGGUUUUGGGCCCAAGCCAAAAUUGGCAAAUUACAGCUGCCCCUCUUUGCUCGUUGUCGUGUAAUGAGAAUGGAGCAAAGACUUUAAAAAGGGUUAAUUUUGACUGGUCCUGCCGAAUCUCGACUUCUUGGUUUUCAUCCUCUUCAAGUAGCCUCAUUCCAAUCCACUGCAUCUUCAAGGGUAUAGGAAGUGUCACGUCAAUCUGCUUCCCUACAACUUCAAGGAGAAAUAAGACUUGUAGUUUCAAUCUACUCCGCUGCAACUUCAGGGAGAUAAGACUUGGCUUUGGUAAAUUUGAUUUGACCUACUGCAACUUCAAAGGUAUAGGAUUUGUGGUUUUAAUCUGCUCCACUACAACUUCAGGGAGAUAGGAUCGGUGGCUUCAAUCUGCUUGACUGCAACUUUAAAAAGAUAAGAUCUGCCAUAAUUUGUAUCUUUAAUCUGUUCCACUACAACGCCAGGGAAAUAAGAUUCGAUGUCUUCAGUCUGCUCCGCUGUAACUUCAGGGAGAUAAGGCUGGUGGCUUCAAUCUACUCCACUGCAACUUCAGGAAGAUAGGAUCUGCCAUAAUUUGUAGCUUUAACCUGUUCCACUGCAACGCCAGGGAAAUAAGAUUUGGUGUCUUCAGUUUGCUCUGCUGCAACUUUAGAGAGAUAAGGCUGGUGGCUUCAAUCUGCUCCACUGCAACUUCAGGAAGAUAAGAUCCAUCAUAAUUUGUAGCUUUAAUCUGUUCCACUGUAACGCCAGGGAAAUAAGAUUUGUUGUCUUCAGUCUGUUCUGCUGCAACUUCAGGGAGAUAAGGCUGGUGGCUUCAAUCUACUCCACUGCAACUUCAGAAAGAUAAGAUCCGCCAUAAUUUGUAGCUUUAAUCUGUUCCAUUGUAACACCAGGGAAAUAAGAUUUGUUGUCUUCAGUCUGCUCUACUGCAACUUCAGGGAGAUAAGGCUCCUGGCUUCAAUCUGAUCCACUGCAAUGCCAGGGAAAUAAGAUUUGCUGUCUUUAGUCUGCUCCGCUGCAACUUUAGGGAGAUAAGGCUGGUGGCUUGAAUAUGCCCCACUACAAAUUCAAGAAGAUAAGAUCCGCCAUAAUUUGUAGCUUUAAUCUAUUCCACUGCAAUGCUAGGGAAAUAAAAUUCACUGUCUUUAGUCUACUCCGCUGCAACUUCAGGGAAAUAAGGCUGGUGGCUUCAAUCUGCUCCACUGCAACUUCAGGAAGAUAAGAUCCGCCAUAAUUUGUAGCUUUAAUCUGUUCCACCGUAACACUAAGGAAAUAAGAUUCGCUGUCUUCAGUUUGUUCCACUGCAACUUCAGGGAGAUAAGGCUGGUGGCUUCAGUCUGCUCCACUGUAACUUCAGGAAGAUAAGAUCUGCCAUAAUGACUUCAAUCCAUCCCACUGCAACUUUAGGGGUAACUUCAUUGAUCUGUUCUGUAGGGGAUAUGACCUGUAGAAUCCAUUUCAUGGACCUAUUUAUGCGUAGUGAUUAAGAUGUCAUGAUCAGAAUGAACCAAAUGCUCCUAACUAGGUGUGUAUGAAUGAUAUUUACAUGCAUAUAGAUUAUCAUUUUUUGAGAAUGAUCCUUUUUUAAUGCUUAGGUUAUCAUUACUCGUUGUUCAUCAAGGUUCUAUCACUGACGUAUUACGCUGCCUUCUUGCUCAGCUGGUAUCUUUAACAGAAAACCCGAAAAAAUAGUCACAAUUUAGAUUAUUCUUUCAAAAAUGUUUCCAACCCUUAGGUUUGGAGAGUUCUAAAUAAUAGUCCUAUUUCAGGAUCUUGUACUAUUUAGAAGCUUUCGGGGUAAUAGGCAAAACUCCUUUUUCUUGAAUAUUAUUAGUCCAUUAAUUGUUAUUUCAAUGAAAAAUGCUUGAAAAAGAUUAUCACAAUGGACAAGAUGAAAUUUUAUUGAGAGCAAAGCUUGAAAUGAAUAAAUUGAUCAAGAUAGCAAAUUUUGCUAAGAUACGAAAUGAAUAAGAUGAAAACAGGUGCCCCGGAUAUCGCAGGAUUAGUUUCUCUACACAAAACCUCUCAAGGGCCCCUUGAACUUGAUACAUGUUUAGAAGUCCUAGAAGACUUUAUUGAUGCCCCAAGAUGUAGCAUCCCUCCUUCUUGCUAAUUCAGGCAUAGUAAGACUACUGCAUGCCCCACCUUCAAUCAAAAAUUUGAAUUGCCCAUUCCUGGGCUUUCAAUUCAAAACCCAUUUGGCCUCAAGGCGCCCUUUGCGGGUUUUCACCUUGGCCUCUCCUUUUUUUUUCUUUUCUUUUCUUUUUUCUUUUUUUUAAGUGAAGCGUUUCUUGCUUGAAUUAUAAUUUACAAGAUUAGGUAGGUUCUUGCCAUCCAUCUUGGUCAAUAUCGAUACUCCUCCAGAGAAUGCCUUCUUUACCACAUAAGGUCCUUCUCGAUUUGGCAUCCACUUUCUUCUGAAGUCCUUUUGUAUGGAAGGAUCUUCUUCGAUACCAGGUCCCUCUCAUGGAAUUCUCUAGGGCGAACCGUUUUGGUGAGCUCGCAUCAUUCGUUUUUGGUAUAUUUGACCAUGACGGAUAACUUUAAACCUUUCUUUUCAAUCGGGAUUGGAUACAAAAAAAACUCAGAGAGAAGGAAUCUCGACUUCAAUGGGUAAAAUCACGAUAAGCCAAAGAGAAACUCGUUGCCCCGGUAGAGGUUCUUUUUUUUGGCUCCACUACGUUUCAUUUUGGGGCGAUAUCGUGUUAAUAUUGAACAGACUGUAAAUUUUUGAUAUCAUGCUGUUGUUCAAAUUUAGUGCAUUGUCGGAUAUGAUCCUUUUUGGCAUUCCAUAUCGACAUAUGAUUUUUCUUUUUUUCAAGAAUUUGCUGACUGUCGGCUUUAUGACAUUGGCAUAUGAAGCAACUUCCACCCACUUAGUGAAGGAAUCGAUGGCCACAAAGAUGAAUCAAUGACCACCAGAAGCUUUUGGUGAGAUCGGCCCAAUGACAUCCAUGCCUCACAUAGAGAAAAACCAUGGUUUCCAUUGAUUAUUUGUAAGGUAGGAUCUGUUUCUCAUCUUGUUCUACCAUUAUUAACAAAUCAGGAGACAAGCUACAGUCUCGGUCAUCUUCAAAGUCCUAAGGUUUCUCUAGACACCUCUCUUGCUCAAAAAGAGGUUCUGAGUCAAUAGCAGUGUCAGUCAUAUCAGUGAUAUCUGGAGACCUAUUAUAGGGACGAAGAAAGAUCCAAAGAACAAAAGAAUCUAAGAAUAUUUAUCUGUAUCGUAUGAUUAUGAAUGAAAUGGAAACAAUAAAAGAAUAUUUGCUUGAAGUGAGAAACAAUGAAACAGCCCAAUUUUGGGUCUAGUCAGAACAAUGGUUUCAAGACCACAAAUCCGACGAGGAAAAAUGAAAUGGCCUGAAUUUUUAGGGGUGUCAGAACGGUGAUUCGAGAUCCCUAAAUCCGACAAACGAGUAGAAAAUAUUAUUAAUUUAGUGAGUUUAAGUUAAAUGUGAAGUUAAGAAAAUUUUUGAAAUAGUGAAUAGUGCACUAGAAAUAAAUAUUAAAAUAAUUAGAAAAAAAGGAGGUAUCGAGAUCUCAAAGAUUUUAAACCGAGCCAUAAAUAUUUUUAUAAAUAUUUAUGGAGUGUUAAAAAGUUAGUAUUAAAGUUUCGUUAAGAAAUUUUGAAGUUCUGAUAAUUAAUUGAACAAAAAGGACUAAACUGUAACAAAUACAAAAUUAUGGGAAAUGAUUAAAUAGCUUAAAUGAUAAAAGGAAGAGGGCUUAAAAGGCAAAUAGACCCAAUGUCUAUUUGGGCUGGAUCGGGCCAGUUUUUCAUUGUUUUUGAAAAGUGCUUUUGAAAAGUUCUGUGGAAAAGUACUUUUGAAGAGUGCUUUUAAAAAGUUUGGUUUAAAAUUUGAGUGUUUAGCAUUACUGUCAAAAAGUGCUUUUGAGAAACAAAAUGUCCAUUUUAGACAUGUUAUUAUCAAGUAACAAAUAUGCCUUUAAAUAAUAUUUAAAUUAGUUAAUAUUAUUAUAUAUUAGUAAGAAUAUAAAAAAUUAUUAUAACUUGUUGUUAAUAUUUUAAUAUAUGUAAUAUAAAUUUUAAAUAUUUUUAAGCAAUAAAUAUUAAUUAUUUAUAAAAUUUAAUUAGAAUAUAUAAACUAUAUUUUAAAUAUUUAAAUAUAACCAUUAAAUAUUUGUAAUUAGUAUUUAAAAAAUAUUUUUUAUUUUUAAUUAAUGAUUUUAACACAAUUGUAAUUAAGCACAAAGAAAAAAAUACUAUAUUAUUGGAGGGGUGAAAAAGUAAUUAAGCACCAAAAGUGCUUUUGGGAGAGGAAAAGCUAAAAAUUUCAGCCAAAAGCAGCUUUUUCUUCACAGCUUUUCUUCCAAAAGUGCUUGGAGUCAGAAGUGUUUUUUUUAAGCAAUGAAGAACUGGCCCAAAAUCAGCAAGAAAGUAAGGAGAAUUAAUGACAAAAUUGGAAUAUUGCAAAAUUACUUAAUAAAGCUAGGAUCCAAGUGGAGUUAUCCAGAUUUCUCUUUAUUUUUCUACAUUCUCAUCAGCAAAAACACCAUAAAAGGGUUUCCUUAAGCUGGUUUUUCAUAUUUUUACUGCAAAUAAGUUCAAUUCUUGAUUAUUUCUUGAAAUCUUUGUGUUUUUGUGACUUUUACAACUAGGCCCACUUGUUGAAUUCAUUAGUUUUUGAUUCUAUGAAAGAAGUUAAAAGUUGCUAUGAAUAUGUGUUGGAAGUAUAUGAUGAUUCAGCAUGGAAAUAGAGCUUUAAAUUGUUUAUAUGCUGAUUUUAUUGAAAGAAUUGAAUAGAAAGUGAAUGUUUGAGACCUAAUAGUAAAAGAGUUUGAAGUUAGGGUUUUAUGAGAAAAUUCUGAAUUUCAAUAAUUAUGAAUAACUUAUAAUGUCUAGGUAAAGUACUAAUUGAGAAAAAUUAGUUUAAUUGAGGGGUUAAUUGAGCAAAGACUAAAUUGUAUGAACUGUGAAAUUUGGGGUAAAAUGGAAAUCAACAUUUUUGCACUAAAACAGUUUUGGACAGCAGUAGUAGGUCAAGUUUGAAAAAUCACCAAAAAUUGUGAAAAUCGAAUUAGAGAAUGAAUAAAAUAUGGAAUUAAAUAUUAUUGAGUCUAGUUUCUUAUAGAAGAAACGGUGUAAGUAAUGGAAUUGUAAAUUAUGAGAUAUAAUAAAUUUUGUGAGACAAGGUCAGAAUGAUUUUGGGUUCCCCUAUUCUGGUUUUGGAAAAUCAUAAAAAAUUUAAUAAAAAUAAUUAGGGGCUUAAAUUUAUAUAUUUAAAAUCCUGAAUGAGUAUAUUUUCAAGAGAAACAAACAGAAACAUCAUCCAAAUCCCGUACGAGGAGAUAAUUAAUUUUUAGUGAAGAGGGGUCGGAACUGUCUAGCAGUGAAACAAGGGAGAUUUUAAAGAAUAAAUUGUACUUAUUGGCUAAGCCAAAAAUUCUAAAAAAUUUAUGGUAAGAAGAUAUGUCAUUCUAGUUUCAGAUAAAAUUAAUGGAUCUUAAUUUGGAGUUUCAUAACUCAAGAUAUAAAUAAUUUAGUGACUCUAACUUGGAUAGACAGAUUUGAAUUUACUUAUAAGUAAAUAGUGAAAAUAUAGUUAAUGUUAUUAAGCGUGUUCUAUACAUUAAGGAUGUGGAAUGGAGAGGGGGAGGAAAAUUGGAAAAUAUAUGAAUGACUUGUGUAUAAAUCGUUCAUAUAUUCGAUAAUAAUCGAUAAAUGUUGAAUUAGAAAUGAUGUAAUGUUUUAUUUCAAAUAGUUACUAUGAGAUUGAUGAUGAUCUGAGUUUAGCUAAAUUAAAAGCUAAAGCGAUGUUUUCAUUACAAAAUUAAUAAUUUCAUAAAUGUGUUAAUGAAUGGCAUAAUCGAUAAACGUUGAGUUAAAUGGUAAAUACGUAUUAGUAUUGAACUUAAUGAUAUUGAAUUGUAUGAGAAGUAAAUGGAAAUUUCUAUUGCUAGUGAUAUGAUUUGAAUUAAAAGAAUAAUGGUGAUAUUGAAAUGUAUAUUGAGAAAUUGAUUUGGAUUGUGAACAUGGGAAAUUAUGAAUUGAAUGAAAUGGAAAUGAAGCAUUGAAUUGUUAAGACUUGUGAAUUGCAUGAAUAUAAAUCGGGUCUCGUAGGCCCUCUUUAUUAUGAAUAUAAUAUUUAGAGGAUAUAUUGUGAAGAAUUAUAAAAGUAUGUUAAAAAUUUGAAAGUUUUAAUUUAGAUGAAAUUUUAUAAUAUGGUUAAAUAUGUUUACAAGUGUAUGUGUUCUGGUAAUGCCUCGCACCCUAUUCUAACGACGGAUACGGGUAAGGGGUGUUACAAUUAUUGGUAUCAGAUCUACGGUUUAGUCGGUUCUCGGGCCGAGUGUAGCAUAUGUGAAGUCUAGAAAUACAUGCCAUUAUAUAACCUGUGAUAGUGUGAUAUAUCCCGACCCUGAUGAGAUUUGUUUUACUUAUAGAUAGAUAUACUUUUCAACUUAGCUAAUUUUGAUAAUAUUGAAAGCAAUACUCAAGUAUAUGAGUAGAAAGUUGAUUAUGAUAAAUUGGAACUCAUAAAUGUAUGAAUAAAUAUUUUAUAAUACAUGUCGAUGAAUAAUAUUAUGUUAUAUGUAUUAUUAAAAGUAAAUUAUAGUGCUACACAAAAUAUUGUGCUGAUAACUAAAUUAUAAAAUAUAUGUGAAUAUUCAUAUAAUAUGAGUUUAUUUUAAAAUAGCUAAUUUACAUGUUAUAGGUUCAGGGACUAAAUUGAAUAAAAGUAAAUUUUUAGGAUAAUUUUUUGUAAAAUGUCAAAAAUUACCAAAUUGCAUGAAAUGAAUUGUUUUAUUAUUUAAGUUAAUAAAUUGAAUGAAAUAUUAACUUAGAUUAGGACCGGGUAGAAAAUCGAGAAAAUGAAAAAUUACCAAAAUGCCCCUGUAUCUUGGUAUUUUUGCAAAUUAGCCUGGGAAGUUCGUAUGAACUAUAUUCUAUACAAUUUUGAUUAAAAUGAAUGUUAUUUGGUGAUGAAUAAUAUAUAUGUAUAAGUGUUAGUAUUGAACUGAAUUUAGAAAACUAAUGGAAUAAGAAAUAUGUGUUAGUAUUGAAUUGAAAUUUGAUUCGUGAAUGAAAAAGUGAAUUUGAUAUUGAAAGUAACUUUUGGAAUGAAUGUGAAUUUGAAUUGAGAAUUGAAAACCCUAUUAACUAGUCGGCCUGAGUCGGAUAUAGUUGGCAUGCCAUAAGAUUGGAAGAGUACGGGAAUUUAUCGGCUAUGUCGAUCAGGCACUUUAUGUGUCGUAUUUUAGGCACUUUAUGUGUCGUAUUUCAGGCACUUUAUGUGUCGUAUACCAGGCACUUUAUGUGUCGUAUUUCAGGUACCUCGUAUUUUAGGCACCUCGUGUGUCGUAUCAGGCACUUAUGUGUCGUAUACUGAUCAGGUACUAUGUACCAUUUUAGGCACAAUGUGUCGUAUUGGUGUGUUUGGUUGGACCCACGUAUCCGCCAAAGCCCGAGUCCGUUAAUAGGGGUAGUUAAAUGAAAAGUUAAAUCGAACGAAAUGAAUUAGUUGAGCUAUUAAGAAGAAACGUGAUAGUGUAAUAUUUUCCAGCUCUAAUGAAAUUGUUUUGUUAAGACAGAGAUGUCUUCUAACCGAACUAUUUCCAAUAAUACUGAAAAUUUAUAUUGAGGUGAUUGAAAUGUGUUAUUGAAGAAACGAAAUUUAGAAAGGAAUGUAUAGAAGCUCAUGAUAAGUAUGUGUUACUGUACGAAAUGAGAUAACCAUGAGUUGAGAAAUGUGAAAACGUAGAAUAAAAUGAAAGUUUAUAUGGUGAUAAGCUCAUUCGUGUUUGCUUGGCGUGCAUAUGGUGUUAUGCGCUCAACAUAUUUGAUUAAGUAAAUAUGGUAAGCAAAUAUACACAAAUAGAUGGAAUGUGUGUUUAUGUACACUUGCUUGAAUAAGUGUAAUCAGUAUAUUUAAAUGAUAGAAUCUUAUGUUUAAUUGUUAAAUUAGAAAUAAUAUGAUGUUUUGUUUUAUGUCUUUAUUAUUGAACUAUAAAUAUUAUAAUAGCAUGAAAAUUGAAUUGAAGAUCAAAUUGAGUAGAACGCAGGAAUGAGUACUUUCGUUCAGUGAUAUGCAAUGAAUUGACGGAAAAUACCAUGGUUGGACCAUGGCAACAUGUGAUAUGUGAUUUCCGUAUAAGACCAUAGCUGGGCUAUGGCAUCGGUGUAAUAUGUGCUACUGUGUAAGACCAUAGCUGGGCUAUGGCAUCAGUAUGUGUUAUGUGAUUACGUGUAAGACCGUAGUUGGACUAUGACAUCGAGAAAACGAAGUACUCAAUUCCGUAAGAUGUUCUCUAAUUUGACAAAUGUUGGUAAGUAAAAUGGAAGCCAAGUAUUGGAAUUUAAUUAGAUAUUAAUAUUGAGCUCGAGUCAGAAAAUCCAUUGUGUGAAAUUGUGGGUGACAGAAAACAUUCAUAAUAAAUACAUUUGUUACUUUGCUUGGAAUGAACUAUGUAAUCACUGAAUUUUGUCCGGGACGAAUUUCGUGUUUUUUAAAAAAACUGCAUUUUGACCCCUAACUUUUUUGAAAUUACAUUUCAACCCCUAAACUUUCUUAAAAUUACAUUUUGACCCUAAAAUUUCUUGAAUUUACAUUUUGGCCCCAAAAAUUUUACUGCGUUUGUAAUUUGGUCCUUCUGGCAGCUGGCAGCGCAAGUUGCGCACCUGCGCUGCAGCGGCCGACCUAAGGCACGGCCUCCUUCUCCCCUAGCCACCUACCACCUGCAAAAGGAGCAAAAAAUCAACAAUAAACAGGGGUUUUAAACCCCCAAAAUUUGGAGCCAAGGGAGGAAGCAAAAAGAAAAAAAAACAUAAACAAGAGACAAGAGACAAGAGAAAAAACCAGCAGCAAAAAUGAAGAAAAAAUAGUAAAAAAACUUCAAAAAUUUUGUUAUUUUCUUUCUCACAACCACCGGAGGCGGACGAGAGCGACGGAGCGCGAGUGGAGGGCCGGAGCAACGCCUUGUGUCUUCGGGUUGGCGGAAAAAGCCAAGCAAAAAGAAGAGAAAAAAAGAAAAGGGAAGAGGGGAAGGAGAAGGACACCGGCGGUAGUCGCACCCUCGGCCAAGACGACGACGGCGGCGUUGUAGGAGGCUAGGAGAACCGGAGCGGGGAAAAAAGAAAGAAAGAAAAAGAAGAAGGAGAAAGGAAGAGGAAGAAGGAAGAAGAGGGAAAGAAAAAAAUUAAUUAAUUAACAGUCGGGUCAAACUGACCCGACCCGGGUCCAACCCGAACCGAUCCGGUGACCCAACCCGACCCAGCGAGCUCAAUAGUCAAGCCCAAACCAGCCCAAAAAAACAAGAAAAAAACAAAGCAAAAAAAAAGAAGUAGCCCAAAGCCCAACGCACCAGCCCAGCAGCCAUGCCCAGUGCGUAGGCAGCCCAACAGCAGCCAAUAGGCCCAAAAGAAGCAGGCCAAAAAAAAAAGAAAAAAAGAGAGAAAAAAAGAAAAAGAGAAAAAAAGGGUUCAAUUUGCGUAACCCCGUUCGACGAAGCUCGUGUUUCGGGAUCUUUUCAGUAAUUUCGUUUAUUUCACUUUUAAUUUAAAGCUCGUAUUUUUAUGCCAUUUCGUUUUAAUAUUAUUAGUACUUUAUGUAUUUUUAUAUUUUUGUAUUUAUAUUUUUAAUUUAAUUCAAUUUUAAUUUUAUUUUAUUUUAAAUAAUUUUAAUAAAUAAGGCAACGAAUCAAUUUAACAUAAAAUCGUUGAUUUCAUCGCUAUGUUGGGUGAAUAUCACCGGUUUGCGUUAAACUCGAUACGCCCUUUUAAAAAUCGAAAAUAUUAAAAAAAAAUUUCGUGUUUUCAAAAAAAAUUCUCGUGUUUCGAAAUUUUUGUUUCUUCAAAAAUUUUUCUCGUGUUUUAAAAAUUAUUCGUGUUUUCAAAAAUAAGGCAAUGAAUCGAUUUGACAUUAAUUCGUUGAUUUCAUUGCUAUGUUGAGUGAAUAUCACUAGUUCGUGUUAAAUACGAUACGUGCUUAAUAAAAAAAUCGAAAAAUUUGUGUAAAAAAAAUCUCCAUGGUUUCAAAAAUAUUCAUGUUUUUCAAAAAAAAAAAAGAAUCCGUUAUUCAAAAUUUUUCAUGUUUUCAAAAAAUUUCUGUGUUUUAAAAAUUUUCGUGUUUUCAAAAAAAAUAAUUGUUUCAAAAAUCUCUGUGUUUUAAAAAAAAAUUCGUAUUUUGAUCGGAUCGCGAUUAACUAUUAGAUUGAACUUGUAUUUUUGAAAAUUAAGACAACGCGCGUUUAACGAGAUACCAAUUUUGGGCGUCGCGAGGGUGCUAAUACCUUCCUCGCGCGUAACCGACUCCCGAACUCUAAUUUUCUCUGGAUUUUCACGUAGACCUAAAUUUACCUCUUUUUUAGAAAAAAUUAAAAAUAAAUUUUUCUUCUAAAAAGAGAAUUUAUUAGGUGUCCGAUCACACCUAGAAAAAAGAUCGAUGGCGACUCCCUUUUUAAAUAAAAUCGAAACUCCGUUUUUAAAUUUUCAAUGAUUACUUCGACUAGCGCCCGUGCCCAAAUUUUUAGGUCGCUACAAACUAUGUGGCUAUGAUGGUAUUAUAUUAAUGAUGAAUGGUAAGUCAUAUAUAUAUAUAUAUAUAUAUGUAUUUAUGAGAGUAAGUUAGAGGCUUUACAACCUCACCAUCACCCCCUUAUCAGUAUUGCUUUAUGACGAAAUUUUUUUUACGAGAAUUAUGUUGAAUAAGCUCAUAAAUGUGAACUAAAGAGUUCAGUGGUCAAAUAAUUAGUAAUGCAAACAGAGUUGAUUAUAGUGUAACAAAUGAACUCAGUUUUAAAAGAAAUAUCAGAUUGUUUUAAAGAUUAUACGGAUUAUGUAACGUCACGAUUAAAGAAGAAGUUAAAUUUGACGAGACAAAAUAUUCAAGUAUGAUACCUAAAGAAUGAAUGUAUUAAUUGAAAGUUCUUCUGAAUUGAUUUUUGUUAGUGAAUAGAAUAAUAUGAGGUUUGUGAUAACAGAAUCAGUCAGAGAAAUGAUAAUUAAAUGGUAAAGAUGCCUGUGUGUGACGAUUACAAUCGAAAUGAACACGAUGAUCUUUUCUGGAGAUUCUAUAUAUUCUUUUAUCCUCAGAGAUAUGUGUAUAAUUGUUCAGUUCUGAUAGAGUUCUUAUGUUGUGAGAAUGUUAGCUAACUAUGAUGUUAAACGAAAGUCCUAUUGGUCUAGUUGGUUUAUGACCAGUUAUUGUUCUAUUUUGCAUUCAUAUUUAGAAAGUGUAUUGUUUUGCUACGAUGAAAUUCCAGAGCUGAAAUAUGGUGAUUCUGGUAUCUAGACUUUACUGAUUUUUGUGUAAGGAAUUGUCAUCAGCAAGGGUAUAAAUAAUGAGAGCAUAAGCUCAAAAUUUUAUGAUGGAGUUUUUCCUCAGGUAAAUUUGAAUAAAGUUAAUGAGUUCAAUCAAAAUAUAUGAUUCUUUGAACUAAUACAGUUUAAAGGAUCUUUGAUUCGCAUGCUAAAAAAAAUGUUGAAAGAUUGCGUGUUUGAGUUGUAUCCUCAGCAUGAAGAAAAGAGUAUUCUGAGAUGUUAGUGUUUUAUAAUUGAAAUCAACUCAGUUGUUUUAUUAAAGUGAACUGAAUUAUCGAGAUGUGAUUUGAGUUAUAUGUAUUUAAGCAUGUCCUUAGCUAAGAGAAUAAAUUCUAUGUAUUCAUGAGUAUGAAGACAAAUAGUCGGAAUGAAAAAUCUAUAUUUCAGAAAGUAUGAUAUACGUGAUUAAAUUGAUUAGUGAUUCUGGAAAGUUAGUGAAAGUGUUUAAUGAGAGUUGGAAGUAACUUCUUCUGGUAAGAUUUUUGGGGACGAAAAUCCCUGAAGGGGGGAAGAGUUGUAACAGCCCGAUUUUGGGUCUAGUCGGAAUAGUGGUUUCGGGACCACAAAUCCGGCGAGGAAAAAUGAAAUGGCCUGAAUUUUUAAGGGUAUUGGAACGGUGAUUCGAGAUCACUAAAUCCGAAAAAAGAGUAGAAAAUAUUAUUAAUUUAGUAAGUAUAAGUUAAAUGUGAAGUUAAAAAAAAUUUUAAAAUAGUGAAUAGUGCACUAGAAAUAAAUAUUAAAAUAAUUAGAAAAACGAGGUAUUGAGACCUCGGAGAUUUUAAACCGAGCCAUAAAUAUUUUUAUAAAUACUUAUGGAGUGUUAAAAAGUUAGUAUUAAAGUUUCAUUAAGAAAUUUUAAAGUUUCGAUAAUUAAUUGAACAAAAAGGACUAAAUUGUAACAAAUACACAAUUAUGGGAAAUGAUUCAAUAGCUUAAAUGAUAAAAGGAAGAGGGAUUAAAAUGCAAAUAGACCCACUGUCUAUUUGGGCUGGACGGCAAACGCAUGAAAUCAACAAGAAAGUAAGGAGAAUUAAGGGCAAAAUUGGAAUAUUCCAAAAUUACUUAAUAAAGCUAGGAUCCAAGUGGAAUUAUCUAGAUUUCUCUUUAUUUUUCUGCAUUCUCAUCAGCAAAAACACCAUAAAAGGGUUUCCUUAAGCUGGUUUUUCAUAUUUUUACUGCAAAUAAGUUCAAUUCUUGAUUAUUUCUUGAAAUCUUUGUGUUUUUGUGACUUUUACAACUAGGCCCACUUGUUGAAUUCAUUAGUUUUUUAUUCUAUGAAAGAAGUUGAAAGUUGCUAUGAAUAUGUGCUGGAAGUAUAUGAUGAUUUAGCAUGGAAUUAGAGCUUUAAAUUGUUUAUAUGCUGAUUUUAUUGAAAGAAUUGAAUAGAAAGUGAAUGCUUGGGACCUAAUAGUAAAAGAGUUUGAAGUUAGGGUUUUAUGAGGAAAUUCUCAAUUUCAAUAAUUAUGAAUAACUUAUAAUGUCUAGGUAAAGUACUAAUUGAGAAAAAUUAGCUUAAUUGAGCGGUUAAUUGAGCAAGGACUGAAUUGUAUGAACUGUGAAAUUUGGGGUAAAAUGGAAAUCAACAUUUUGCACUAAAACAGUUUUGGACAGCAGCAGUAGUUCAACUUUGAAAAAUCACCAAAAACUGUGGGAAUCGAAUUAGAGAACAAAUAAAAGAUGAAAUUAAAGCUUAUUGAGUCUAGUUUCUUAUAGAAGAAACAUUGUAAGUAAUGGAAUUGUAAAUUAUGAGAUAUAAUAAAUUUUGUGAGACAAGGUCAGAAUGAUUUCGGGUUCUCCUGUUCUGAUUUUGAAAAAUCAUAAAAAAUUUAAGAAAAAUAAUUAGGGGCUUAAAUUUAUAUAUUUAAAAUCCUUAAUGAGCAUAUUUUCAAGAAAAACAAACGGAAACAUCAUCUGAAUCCCGUACGAGGAGAUAAUUAAUUUUUAGUGAAGAGGGGUUGGAACUAUCUAGCAGUGAAACAUGGGAGAAUUUAAAGAAUAAACUGUACUUAUUGCAUAAGCCAAAAAUUCUGAAAAUUUUAUGGUAAGAAGAUAUGUGAGUCUAGUUUUAGAUAAAAUUAACGGAUCUUAAUUUAGAGUUUCGUAACUCAAGAUAUAAAUAAUUUAGUGACUCUGACUCGGAUAGACAGAUUUGAAUUUACUUAUAAGUAAAUAGUGAAAAUAUAGUUAAUGUUAUUUAAGCGUGUUAUAUACAUUAAGGAUGUGGAAUGGAGAGGAGGAGGAAAAUUGGAAAAAAUAUGAAUGACUUGUGUAUAAAUCGGUCAUAUAUUCGAUCAUAAUCGAUAAAUGUUGAAUUAGAAAUGAUGUAAUGUUUUAUUUCAAAUAGUUACUAUGAGAUUGAUGAUGAUCUGAUUUUAGCUAAAUUAAAAGCUAAAGCGAUGUUUUCAUUACAAAAUUAAUAAUUUCAUAAAUGUGUUAAUGAAUGGCAUAAUCGAUAAACGUUUAGUUAAAUGGUAAAUACGUAUUAGUAUUGAACUUAAUGAUAUUGAAUUGUAUGAGAAGUAAAUGAAAAUUUCUAUUGCUAGUGAUAUGAUUUGAAUUAAAAGAAUUAUGGUGAUAUUGAAAUGUAUAUUGAGAAAUUGAUUUGAAUUGUGAACAUGGGAAAUUAUGAAUUGAAUGAAAUGGAAAUGAAGCAUUGAAUUGUUAAGACUUGUGAAUUGCAUGAAUAUAAAUCGGGUCUCUUAGGCCCUAUUUAUUAUGAAUAUAAUAUUUAGAGGAUAUAUUGUGAAGAAUUAUAAAAGCAUGUUAAAAAUUUGAAAGUUUUAAUUUAGAUGAAAUUUUAUAAUAUGGUUAAAUACGUUGACAAGUGUAUGUGUUCUGGUAAUCCCUCACACCCUAUUCCGGCGACGGAUACUGGUAAGGGGUGUUACAAACAAAGAUGCAUUUUAUGAAAAUAAAGAUGUUGGACAUAAACCUAUCUCACAAAAGGAUUCUUAUUGCUCUUAGGCUUAGAGCAAUAAGCGUGUUUUGGACAUUACUCUGAAUUAGGUCUAAAAAAUUCAGGGAUCUCUUCCACAGUCCCAUUGUUCGAAACACUCCCAGGUGUGUAAGCGCAAAUGCUUAAUAAACUAUCUUCCUCGGCUCCCCCUUCGGAUACGAUUUUAACAUUCAAAUUCCCCAACAUUCCUUUCGGGACUUUGACUUCUUCAAGGAAUUCCAACUCUUUAGUUUCCAUUAGGCUCUGCACCAAAGCUUUGAAUUCAGAUCACUCCUGGAUUUCAUGACCUUUUUUAGUGUGGAACUCAUAGUAACUCCUCAUCCCUUUUGGUCUCUUCUCUGAAUUUUGAAUGAUUAAUCCCAUGUCUAUCAUUUGUUUCAAAACCCAUUUCAGUGGGGUUUUUACUUCUUCAACAUUGGUUUUGGUUCUCUUUCCUCCAUUUUUAAUUAUCGCGUUUACCCCUGGGUCUAGAUGACUGGGUAAUAGAUUUCCUACCACAUUAGGUCCUGAUGGAUCGUUAAACUUCACGAUGCCUAUCUUGAUGAACCUUUCAACUAACUUUUUAAAUGUAGUACCGUUUUCAAUUGAGCGUCCUGUUAUUCCCGCGUGGUAUUCGCAUUGGGCAUUCGCAUCAUACCAUUUUGGGAACGGAAGUUGCACGGGUUCCGAGUAGAACGGAGAUACCACAUGCGCAUCAAAUAGAUUUUGAUACAACACUCUAUAUGUCAUCGGGAUGGGUGUGAAUUGGAGUCUUUCUGUGUUUGGCCUCAAGUUAGAUUCUUGCCUUGAUGUACCUUGAUAGCUAGUGGUUACGACCCUCAGUUGGCCCAUAGUGAACGAUUUGGAAUACCCUUUGUUAUACAUGCUCAGGUUAUUCACUUCAUUUUCUUUGUUCUUUGGGGUUGAUCUUUUGAUGCUUUACCCCGCAUCUAUCUUCUCACUUCUUAUGGUGCUUUCAAUCAUCUCGCCAAACAUUACAAUAUCUGAGAAGCUCUUCAGAGCACUUCUCAACAUAUGGUUAAUGAAUGGGGCUUUCAGAGUGUUGAUGAAAAGCAUCGUGGUUUCUUUUUCUAGAAGAGGUGGUUGGACUUGCGUCGCUACCUCUCCCCAUCUUUGAGUAUAUUGCCUGAAGCUCUCACUUUGCUUCUUUUCCAUAUUCUGCAGUGUAAUUCUGUCAGGUGUCAUGUCUGUUACAUGGCUGUAUUGCUUCAUGAAAGCCUGUGCCAAGUCCUUGCAUGAGUGGAUUUUUGCACGGCUCAGCUGGUUGUACCAUUUGGCAGCCGACCCAAUCAGACUAUUUUGGAAGCAAUGAAUUAAUAAUUGAUCGUUAUUAACGUAUCAUUCUUCGGCAGAACAUCGUGAUGUGCUUCAGGGCAGCUAGUCCUAUUAUACAUUUCAAAUUCUGGAGUUUUGAAUUUCGGCGAGAGUACUAGAUCUGGGACCAAACUCAGAUCCUUGGUGUCAACCCCGCAAUGGUAAUCAGCAUUUUCUAUUGCUCUGAGGUUUUCCUCCAACCACAUGUGUCGAUCUUCGAGUUGUUUUGGCAGUUCCACCCUUGCUUUUUCUAUUUCUGCCAUUUCGUCUAGAUCAGGAACUAUAGGAUUGGUUGGAUUGUCCCCCGGAUUGGAACUUGAACCUGUCGGGUAGUUCAUGGAUGCCGAGGUACCGGUUUGAUAUUGUUGGGGUCUGAUAGUAAUGGGUGCCCCUUGAGGAUGCUCGUCGGGUUAGACCUGGACACUUAUCGGGGUAAAACCUGAAGGAUGGGCAUGGUCUUCAUUAUCAUCUCCAGAGUUGACUGCUGAGCUUUUCCCUUUUUCAAGCCCCCCGGCUAGUAACUAUAUUAAUUGGUUCAUCAUACUUCUUUAGGAUUCCAGUAUCUGAUCUUUCAUCUCUUGUUGUACCUUCGCUAUUUGUUCUUGUAUUUGCGCUUGCAACUGAUCUUGCAUAUCCUUCUGCAUUUGUUCUAAUCUUUCUAAUCUUUGAUCCAUUUCUUUGGUUUUGCAGUGGGUACCAUAGCAAUAUUUAGUUGGUGGAUUUUCGUUAGUUUCCAGGGUAACUGUAACAAUUUUGAUUAAUUAGGUUCCUUUUGUGAAAUUUAAUGCGUGCAAUGUAAUACAGAUGAAUAGAAUAAAUGGAAAAAGAGGCGUUGAUUCUGAUUCAAUUCUAUUAGAACAACUUUACUAGAAAACAAAUCUCUUUACAUAAAAUAGAUAUUUACAUAUACGUCCUUGCCCUAAUACUCAAAGUGAAGACAUCGAUCAUUUUCCUCAUAUCCGUACGUUAAGAUUGAAUCUCGUGAACUCUCUAAAGUGGUGCCUCCUCUAUCUCUUUUUUGCUUGAUCCAAGCCGCGACCCAUUGUUCACUCAUCCUCGUGAUGCUUGUUAGCUUCUUUAAGAAAGUUGGAAUGUUGGCGGCUCUCAAAUAAUCUUUGUCAGCUUGAAUCUUUGGGUAAUGAAGCAAAGUCGUGUACUUAUUCACCAGACUAUCACCAUUCCCUCGUUACGUUUUCUUGGACCCUAUUCGGACGACCGUAUUGUCUUCCACUUUAUCAAGAAAUCCAUUUUCCAUGACAAGCUCUCUAUUUAGCAACUAAACAUGAAUCAACACCUCUUUUCUAUUAUGAAAAUGCAAUGCAGUCACAGUCAAAGCAAAACAAAACAAGUCAGUACAUUAUACAAAGCUAAAGUGAGCAAGGAAUAAUAAACAAAGCACCUAUUUGGGUGACCACUAGGGUUUGGUGUAGUUUUUCCUAGGGUGGGCUAUUAGGGCUCACUAUAUGCGGUUUGGUUCUAAAGUAAACGUACCUAAACUGGUAGAUUCCUCGAUCCUUACCCAUUAUAGGCUCAUAUGGACCGAGUUCAGUUCAGGGGAACACAUUUCCCUAUGACUAUGCGCAGAUGAAAAUCUCACGAAGACAUAGGUAUGGAUAUAUCCCGAAAGUAAUCCACUAUCCCAUGUGGAGGUGAAAACCUCACGAAUGCGUAGUUUCUCACUCCUACUUAAAAGGGUAUAAUCGAGUGGUCAUGCGAUGCAAUGCGCAGAAAGAUAUCAAAACUUAAACUGACAUAACAAUUAAACCAUAAUGAUGAAGAUCGUAAUAAAGACAGAUGAAAUACAACGCAAGGAUCGUACUUUUUAGUGUCUCCAGUGGAGUCGCCAAGUUGUCGAAACUAUUUUUUUUGUAAAAGGGGCCGACUUUUUAUUUUUUAUAAACAAAAAUGGGAGUCGCCACCAAUCCUUUUUAUUAGGUGUGAUCGGAUCACCUCGCAAUUUGAUCAUUUUAAUAAAUAGUUUGAUUUAUUAAAACAUUAUUUUUCGGUCUACAAAAAUCCAGAAAACGAGUUCGGGAGUCGGUUACGCACGAGUAAGGAUUAGCACCCUCGAUACGCCCAAAAUUGGUACCUAGUUGAUUAAUUAAUGUCUAAAUGUCGAAAGUUGAAAAUUUGAGAAGAUUUUAAAAUACGAUCAUUUUUUAUUAAUAUUAUCUUAAAAAUGCUUGAAUGAAUCGAAAAGAAAAUUAAAGACCCCCUUAUCUCGGGGUAACGGAAUGUCACGUCCCGUAAGUUGGGACACGACACUUGGAACCCUCGAGAAUAGGCUUGCCAUUAAUUUUUAUUGAAAUUCCAUGUAUCUUGAAGUUUAAAAGGAUAUUUUACCAUUUAGGUUUAUCGAGAAAAUCGAAACCUCGUAAGUUAGGGUACGAUUUCUCGAAUCACCAAAACGCGAAAUGUUGCCCUAUUUUGAAAAUUUUCCUUUUUUGAAUUUGAGUAAGAACUAACGUGAUAUUUAAUAAAACAUAUGUUUAGUUUAUUUAAACAUCGUAUGGAAGUGAACAAAUAUUUUUUUUUCUAAAACAUAAUGUAUGAUACAACAAUAAUGAAAUAAUGUAAAAUAACCAUGUGGGUAAAAUAUUUAAAAGAUAAAUAAUGGGAUACAACAAUAAUAAUGAUGUGAUAUUGAUAAUUAAAUUGCAACAACAAUAAAUGAAGCAACAUAAAAUAAAAUAAAAUAAAAUGAAAAUAAGAACCACAUAAUAAGAAAAAGUAACCAUAACUGAAAAUCUAAUAAUUAAAAGAAAUGAUAAAUCAAUAAAAUAUAAAGAAACAAGCAAAAUAAUAAUAAUAAUUAUAAUUAUAAUAAUAAUAAUAAUAAUAAUAAUAAUAAUAGAGACAAUAAAAAAAUAAUGAUAAAUUUUAAAUUUUAUUUUUAAUGCCAAAGGUUGAAAAAGUAAUAAAUAAAUAAUAAAUAAAAGUGAAUAGGUAAAUUAAAUAAACAAAAUAAUAAAUAAAAAAAGAGUUGAAAUUAUGCUGCCUAGGAUUAAAUUGCAAUCUGGGCAAUACUUUAGGGAGGAUUUCUUAAAGAAAUAAAAGAUAGAGCCGAUCGAGGGAUUAAAACAAAACACGCUUAAGGUGCGUGGGCCGAAAGGGAAAUAUUCCCAUGUCAUUUGAACGGCGCCGUUUUAGGGGGCAGCAUCUGCGCAUGGUCUAAGGACCAAAUUGAAUCGGAAGCAAAACUUUGUGGCCAAAAUCAAAAAUAAAAAAGGCCGCAUUGAAUACGUCGCAAAGGUAGAGGGGCUUAUUACACAAAUAACCCCUUUAACGAAAAUGCACGGAUCCUCCCUGGCGGGUCAGGUCGUGCGCUCAGGUCAAGGGGCUAAACGACAUCGUUUUGCGGCUUAAGGAUGCCGACCAAAACGGCGUCGUUUUGUUUAGGCUAUUUAAGCCAAUUUUUUUUUUAAAAAAAACUCAUUUCUCUCCUUCCCUUAAAUUUUUCUUUUUGAAACACUCUCCCAUCCCUCUCAGCCCCGAUCUCUGGCCAGGAGUCCGGUCGACCGCCGUCGCGCCGACCACUGGCCACUAGCGACGGCGCUGACGUGCGCGGUGGUCUAAAAUUUCAAAAAACCCCCUUUUCGCUCCUUUUUUUCAGUAAAGCCCCGAUUUGGGGUUAAAACGGCCCGAAGGGCUCCCAAAAUUCGAGAAAAUGAAAAAAAGAGGAGAAAAAUUAAGAGACUUUUCGGCUCUUCGUCGUCGCCGGUGGGGUUUUUGGCGAGCCCGUUGGCUCGCCCACCCUCAAGAUCGGAGAAACCUCCGUCCACGGCGCUAAAGGUAAAAGAUUUCUUUUAUUUUCUAUUAUUGUUUAUUUCGAAAUAAAAAUAUAUAUAUAUAUAAAUAAAGCACCUUUUUUCUUUCGAAUUUGUUGAAACUUCUCUAUGUAUUCAAAAUCAAUGUGUGUCCGAAAAAAUUACAAAGAUGAUGGUCGGACUUUUAUAGCCGAAGUACAAUAUUCGUUUUUGUUUUGUUUUGUUUCUUAGUUUUCUUUUCUGUUGUCUUCUUUUGCUUGCGUGUUGCAGGUGGUGGCAGAGGCGUGCGGCACGUGGAGGUGACAUGCGGCUGCCAAAGGCAGAAGACCCAGGUGCGGCACACCUAGGGUUAGCAAUUUUGUUUUUUUGCUAAGGGUAUUAGGCUAGGUUUUUUUGUUGGGCUGUUUGGGUUUGAUUUAAUAGUGGGCUGGUCUGAUUGGGCCUGCUGGACUCUAAUUUUGGACUAUUUAUUAUUUUUUUGGUUUUUAUUUCUAUUUAUUUUGGGUUUUGGGCCCAGGCCAAAAUUGGCCUAUUACACUCGCGUUUCCAUAAAAAGACUUCGGGCUAGUUUGGCAAUGCUUUUGAAAAGUGCUGUGAAAAAGUGCUUUUGAGAAGUGCUUUUGAAAAGUUUGGUUUAAAAUUUGAGUGUUUAGCAUUGCUUUCAAAAAGUGCUUUUGAGAAAUAAAAUGUCCAUUUUAGACAUGUUAUUAUCAAGUAACAAAUGUGCAUUUAAAUAAUAUUUAAAUUAGUUAAUAUUAUUAUAUUUAGUAUGAAUAUAAAAAAUUAUUAUAACUUGUUGCUAAUAUUUUAAUAUAUGAAAUAUAUAUUUUAAAUAUUUAAAUAUAACCAUUAAAUAUUUGUAAUUAGUAUUUUAAAUAAUAUUUUUUAUUUUUAAUUAAUGAUUUUAACAGAUUUGUAAGUAAGCACCAAUAAAAAAAAAGAAAAGUACUAUGUUAUUGGAGGGGUGAAAAAAUAAUUAAGCACCAAAAGUACUUUUGGGAGAGGAAAAGCUAAAAUUUUUAGCUUCUCAUUUUCAGAAGUGCUUGCUAAAAAUUUCAGCGAAAAACAACUUAUUCUGCACAGCUUUUCUUCUAAAAGUGCUUGUAGAAAGCAAAUUAAACUUGCAUUUUGAGUGGAAGAUAAAUGAGUCUUCAAGUCAACCAAAUUAAACGUGCAUGACAAGCUAGAAGUAUUGAUUAAUUUCCAUGAACAAGGUGACGUGCUAGUUGAAUACAAUAUUCUAAUACAAAAUAGGUAGUGAUUAGUGCUUGAAGAAAAUUCAUAUCUUGAUGUAAACAUUUGCAGCUGCCUUGAAAUAUCAUUACAUCAUAUCAAAAUCAGACUGUUUUUUUAACUGAAAAAAAAAAUUGAGUUCAGUUAAAUAUCAUUCAUAAAUCAUAGCGUCUCUUCCAAGUUCUGGGAAGAGAUUAUGGGAAAAACUAUUAGCUGCUCUGUUUUACUAGCUUUAAUAUCUUGCUUUUACUUACUAUUUGCCACUGCUUUAGACACAAUAACACCAUCAAAAUCCAUCAAAGACCCUGAUGUUAUAAUCUCCCAGAAUGGUGUUUUCCGAUUGGGAUUCUUCAGCUUGGCUAACUCCAGCAAUCGUUAUGUAGGGAUUCUCUACAAUCAAAUCCCCGUACAAACUGUUGUAUGGGUAGCAAAUAGAAACAGGCCUCUCAAAGACUCUUCUGGGAUUCUUACCAUAUCAGAUGAUGGCAACCUUGUUGUUUCCAAUGGAAAAGCUGAGGUUCUUUGGUCAUCACAUGUUAACAAUACAGCUCCUAAUGCAACAACUGCCCAGCUUUUAGACUCUGGAAACCUUGUCCUUAGUAAUGGUGAGGAUGGAGCAAGCAGCUUAUGGGAGAGUUUCGAAGAUCCUUCUAAUGCCUUCAUUGAAACUAUGAAGAUCAGCACUGACGUUAAAACGGGUCGUAAAGUGGAGCUGAAAUCAUGGAAAAGCAUUGAUGACCCAUCUGAUGGUAACUUUUCUCUUAGCCUUGAACCUUUCAACAGCCCCGAGGUCAUCAUUAGGAAGAAUAACCAGCUCUAUCAUCGGACCGGUCCAUGGAAUGGGAAUAGCUUCAUUGGCUUAAUAGAUGAGUACACUGCUUAUCUUGAAGGGUUCGAUGUUGUUGCAGAUAAUCCACAACAAGCGUACUAUAUGACUUACGAUUUUUCUAACGAUUCUAUGUUGAUAUACAUUGAAUUAGAUUCUCAAGGAAAAUUCAUUGAACGGAAAUGGGAUGAGGGGAAAGGGAACUGGAUAAACAAGUACUCUAGUUAUCAAACAAAUUGUGAUGUUUAUGGAUACUGUGGGGCAUUUGGAAUAUGCGAUUCAUCGAAACGACCCAUUUGCAGUUGCUUAAAAGGGUUUAAGCCUAGGAAUAUAGAGGAAUGGAGUAGAGGUAAUUGGAGUAGUGGAUGUUUUAGGACUACCCCUUUGCAGUGCAAAAGAGAUAACAACAAUGGCAGUGGAGCAGGCCAAGGUGAUGAUGGGUUUUUGGAGAUGAAGAUGAUGAAAGUGCCAGCAUUUCCGCAUCCGUCAUCAAUAAGUAACGGCCAGUGCAAAGACCAAUGCAUGAAUAUGAAGAAUUGUUCGUGCGUGGCUUAUGCGCAUGAUGAUGGCAUUGGUUGCAUGUUGUGGAGUGGAGAUUUGAUUGAUGUCCAGAAAUUCUCCGCUAGCGGCGUCGAUCUUUACAUUCGUCUGCCAUCUUCGGAACUGGGUAAAGUUUCUUAGUGUCGACCAUGUGUUUGAUAAAUUGCGUCAAUAUCUGCCUUUUGGGGUUGAAGUUAUUAACCAAGUUUUUCUAUUUGCAGAUAAAGGGAAAAGUAGUAAGGUCAUUGUUAUUACAACAGUAACUGCGGGCAUAGUCGCUAUUACAAUUUCUGCACUCUUCCUAUGGUGUGGGAUGGCUAAACAAAGAGGUAAAUUGUCGUCUCUAUUUAUUUAAUUUAUGUAAUCACUUUUUUUUUUAUAAGAAAUAUGUAAUCACUUUAAGAGGACUCUUCGGGUACAUCUGAUAAUAAAAUCAAUAAAUAAAAAAAAAUGUAUUUCUACGAACUCAUGUCUUCUUGACAACAAUAUCGCCAUUGUUAUUACAACGGUAAUUGUGGGCAUAGCAGUAAUUACAAUUAUGUAGCCUUCAACUCAUUGCUUCUUUGAUUUCUAUCUCAGGAACGAAUAAAAGACACAAACAGAUCAAACACAAAUCUUAUAGUGAAAAUGUAGGAGAAAGUUUAAUUGGUGUUAAACUCCAGCAGCUUCCACUAUUCAAUUUCGAAGAACUUGCCACCGCGACCAACAACUUCCAUCCCGAAAAAAAGCUAGGGCAGGGUGGUUUUGGUCCGGUUUACAAGGUAAUAAAUAAUAGCGAUUUCCGGUGAAUUCAGAGUCAAUGAAAUGACUUUUUUUUUUCAAUCAAGUAUUGUGAUCUGAAUUCUGAGUGCAGGGAACAUUAGAUGAUGGAAAAGAAAUAGCAGUGAAGAGAUUGUCAAAAGCUUCGGGGCAAGGAUUGGAAGAAUUUAUGAACGAAGUGGUGGUUAUGUCAAAGCUCCAACAUCGAAAUCUGGUUAGAUUAUUUGGGUGUUGUGUUGAAGCAGAAGAGAAGAUACUCGUCUAUGAGUUCAUGCCCAAUAAAAGUUUGGAUGCUUUUCUCUUUGGUUAGUAACUUAUUAAUUUUUUUUAGUGUUUAACAAUCAUAUUAAACUCGGAUCAAAUUUAAAACUUCGGUUUGGAGGCAUUUAAAUUCUUACCAUUCAAUUCAUUAGUCGUGGGUAUAUUUUCCUGGUUGCCUUAUCUGCCUAAUUUGAUAAGUUUGACUAGAUAUAAUUUGGGUAUAAUCUUAAGUGGCCCAAUCCAACUUAAAUCUAAUUAUAUAUUAUAUUUAUUGCUAAAAAUAAAGUGUCGUACAAUAUAUGAAUUGUAUAACCUAGCUAAGCUAGGUACAAUAUAUAUGUAUACAUAUAUAAUAUGUUAUAUAUAUAAGUAAAAAAAAAUGUUUGCAUCACCAUAAACUAUUUUUCUAACUUAUUUUGCUUUUUUUAUUAUAAAUUUUUCUAAUUUUUUAUUUUUAUUCAAAAAAUUAAGGAAAUUUCAAAAAGAAAAUAGAAUAACAUUCAAGGUUAUUAAAUAAAAUUACUAUAUAUAUUCAAUUUUGUGUUGUCUACAUUGUUUUUCUGAAUUUUCACUUUUUCCUUUGAAUUUUCUCCUUUUUUUUAUCUAUUUUAUAAGGAGGAUUAUAUAUUUUUUAAUAGGAGUUGGUCUAUACUCUAGGAUUUAAAUAUUAGUGGCAACAGUAAGUUUUGUCUCUCUCUCAUUUUAAUAUUUAUUUCAAUUGAUUCACAUAACUUCAAUUAUGCUACAAUCAUAAUGAAUGCAAUAUGAUAGAAAUAAAAGUGUUGGUUUUAGUUUAAAUACUCAAUUAUAGGAAUUAAUUAUUAAUCUUGGUGGUAAAUUUUGUUACAGAUCCUGUUAAACGAAGACUCUUGGAUUGGAGAAAACGCUUCAACAUUAUUGAAGGGAUCAGUCGAGGAUUGCUUUAUCUUCAUAGAGAUUCAAGAUUAAGGAUUAUACAUAGAGAUCUAAAAGCAAGUAAUGUUUUACUUGACCAAGAUUUAAAUCCAAAAAUUUCAGAUUUUGGGAUGGCCAGGAUCUUCGGAGGUGGCGAAAAUCAAGCCAAUACUAAAAGGGUUGUUGGAACUUAGUAAGUUGGAACUUUCUCCCUACAAUUUAUUUUUAUUCAUUUUUUGAUAAAAUAUGAUAUAAAUAUGUCUAUGGUCAGGUUCGGUGCUUAAAGAAAAUACAUGUCCAUACCCGUAUCAAGUUUAAUUUUGUUCAAUUUGUGGACUGAUUUUAUUGUUUUUAAUUUUAUAAAUAAAAUAUUAAAAAUAAAUAUUUAUAUUUUUAUAUUUAACUUUAAAUUAUUUAUUAUUUAUUCUUAAUUCAGGUCGGCUCGUGGACAAGUUUAAAUAAGAGCUGUAAUUGGUGUUGUUUUUCAGAGAAAUCUGACGUGUUCAGCUAUGGAGUUCUACUACUGGAGAUUGUUAGUGGAAGAAGAAACACAAGCUUUUACAACAAGGAUGACCUCAGCCUCUUGGGAUAUGUAAGUUCAUAAGAUAGUUAGAGAUGUUGGUGGAUGGAAUUAGGGUGUAAGAUGUUGUACUUGCGAGUUAUUCGGGUUCAAUUUGAGAAAACUUAAAUUUGGCUCAUCAAUUAUUGAGCCGAGCAAUCAUGUGAGUUGAAUUUGAGAAUCUUAAUGCUUGAUUCGAGUAGCUCGCAAGCUAACUUCAAGAACCCUAAUACUUGAAACGAGUAGCUUGCAAGGCUUUUCAAUCUUAAUCAAUAUUGAAAUUUUUUAAUUCAAACUUGAGCUUAAUUACAAAUAAUCAAGUUUGAAGUUAUGCAUAGGAGUGAAGCUCAUUGUAGACUUAGGUAAAACAAGCAGAGUUAAAACAACAUUUCAAUCUUUAUCUUGAAUAGAGCUAAUCAAACUCUAUUUAAACUUUAAGAUUUUUGAGUCAAGCUAAGCCAAAUAAUUUUGGCAUUAAUUAAGUCAAAAGUUGUUUUUUGUUUUUAGGCAUGGAGAUUAUGGAGGGAAGGCAAUAUUUGGCGAUUAGUAGACGAGGUGAUUUUUGAGUCGGAAUCAGAUUCAAAUAAUGAAAAAGAAAUAUGGAGAUGUAUACAUGUCGGAUUGCUAUGCGUUCAAGAAUAUACUAAAGAUAGGCCCACUAUAUCUACUGUUAUUUCAAUGCUUAAUAGUGAGAUUUCAGAUCUUAACACUCCAAAGCAACCUGCUUUCACUCAAGCACCACUAAUGAGCCAUAAUGUUAAAGAUAGAGGUUCACUUAAUGAUGUAACUCUUACAAACCUUGAUGGUCGAUAAAAAUGUAAAUUAAUUAUUUGUAUUGUUUAGAAUUAAAGUUAAAGCAUUGAAAUUUAUUUUUAUAUUUUGUUUUGAUAUGUUUUUGUCAUUUUAUUUGUUCCAUUCUAAAGGACCAUUUUACCAAUAAUGGCCCAUUUCCAACUUUAUUUACGAAAAUGGGCCAAUUUUUUCAUUAUUUACCAGAAAGGUAGAAAAAUACAAAACGCGUCCACGUUGGAUCAUUUUUGAGUGAAAUUUCAGUAAAUCCUGUCCCUAGGGGAGCGAUUUUGCCAUGUCAGCACAAAACGCGCUAACGUGGCAAAAUCGCUCCCCCAGGGACGCGACUUAGCCCAUGUUUUUCUAGGGUUAGGGCUUUUUGCAUGUUUAGUCACUAGGGUUUUUUGGUUUAGGGUUUUAGGGUUUAAGGUUAGGGUUAGGGUUAGGGUUAGGGUUUUGUUAAAAUAAUUUAGGUUUAGGGUUUAAGGUAGGUUUAGGGAAUAAAUCAAGGUUUAGAGUUUUUUUAAAAAAUUAUUAAAUUAGAUUUUAGAGGUUUUAAAUAAAUUAAUUAAAUUAGGGCUUAGAGUUUUUAAGAAAAUUAACUAAAUUAUGGUUUAGUUUUUUAAAAUAAUUUUGUCUUUAGGUUUAGGGUUUAGGGAAAAUUAUAUUAAUAAUAAAGAUUUUGUUUUUUUCUAUAGUAGCUCCUGAAAAAAUAAUUUUGAGAAGACGGUUUUGAAAAUAUAAUGUCAAGAACGCUUCAAGCAAGAUGCACUAUCAGCAAAAUUACUGAAAAAAGUGGAACGAAGGAAAUGUUCAAGUGUACACAAUCGCAACAAGUAAUAAAGUGACAAGUAAAUGUCGAGUUAUCGUAACCAUAGGGGCUGUGAAAAGAAUUAUUUAUGAAUGCAAUUAAAAACACUUUGGUGAAGAAAAAUAUUUUGAUUUGAGGAGGUGAUUAAAACUAGGAUUUUAACUAAGUAAAAUAAAUAAAAAUAAAAUAAAAGUUUCAAUGCACAAUUUCAAAAGAUGAUUUUAAUCAAGAUGACAUAAUUGUGCUAGAUUAUUUACAUUUCUUAACUUAAUUAGAAUUAUUAAACUCAUUUUAAUGUUGUUACGAAUAAAUUCACAGCAACUCGGUAAUUUGCUAACUUAUGAACAUACUUACCUACCAAAAUCCAUUUAUCUCUUGACUACAUCUCUAUGUCAAUUCAACCGAUUAAAUAAAUUUUAAUAAGCAAAUGUGUUAAUGCACAUACAUACUUAUGAAAUUAAAAUAAUCUUUUGUACAUAUCUCUAUGACAAUUCAAACAAUUAAUUCAAUCUCAUAAGCACAUAAAAGAUUACGGGAGGUAACAAUGUAUUUCUACCUUGAAACAGUUUAAUCACAAUAAUCUUGCAAGUUAUACAAGGCUAAUGUAUCGUUAGAUACUGUUGCUAAUUUAACCCUAUCAGCUACCUUAGAUGAAUAAACAUGCACUGAUUAAGUAUCGUGUCAAUUAAUUACAAUUUCAAUCCGUUUAAAUAAUUAAUUCAUUAGUUAUCUUACAAUUAAUGCAAGAAUAGCUUAGUUAUGGUUUUACUUAAUCAAGCAUCUUACCGAAGCCUAUAACAACACAAUCAUAAUUUUAAUAACUCAAGUAGACGAAUGCAAUCAACCUAACACGAAUUAAAUUGGAUUAAAAUUAAAAUUAAUUUUGUCCCAAAUUCUAAAUUUUAACUGGACAUGACGUAAACACAAUAAUUCAAUAAUUCAACUAGAUCAACUCAAAUUCAAGUAUGAUCUAAACUCAAAUGAUUCAAACUUGAAAUAAUUCAAAGUUAAAAUAAGCCGAAUACAUAACUUGAAAUAUCCUAAAUUCAAGAUAACUUGACCCCAAAAAGUUUAAACUAACCCAGAAUUACUUCAACUUAAAACUAAUCCUAAACCCUGCAUUUGUUCUUGGACUUGAAGUACAUCAGAAGUCGGAAUGAAACAUCUUAACCCAAAAUAUGUUAAAUGUUGUUUUAUCUUAUUCUUUGCAUUAAUGUUGAAAUAAAUAAAACCAAAAUAUAUAUUAAAAAACUGUCGGUAGAACAAACCAUUAAUAAAAUAAGAUAGAGAUGUUCAUGACAGCCGCAAAUGUUUACAUCAAGAUUAGAAGUUUCUAAAAGCGCUAGUCACCUUUGUAUGUUCUUUCUUUUUCUGUCGACUUUUGCUUGUAUGGGAUUGGUGUAAACAUUUGCAGCUGCCUUUGAAAUAUCAUUACAUAAUAUCAAAAUCAGACUUUGAAGAUUCCAAAUAUCAUUUAUAAAUCAUAGGUCACUUCCAAGUACUGGGGAGAGAUCACGGGAAAAACUAUCAACCGCGCCGUUUUACUAGCUUUAAUAUCUUGCUUUGACUUACUAUUUGCCACUGCUUUAAACACCAUAACACCAUCAAAAUCCAUCAAAGACCCUGAUGUUAUAAUCUCCCAGAAUGGUGUUUUCCGAUUGGGAUUCUUCAGCUUGGCUAACUCCAGCAAUCGUUAUGUAGGGGUACUCUAGAAUCAAAUCCCCGUACAAACUGUUGUAUGGGUAGCAAAUAGAAACAGGCCUCUCAAAGACUCUUCUGGGAUUCUCACCAUAUCAGAUGAUGGCAAUCUUGUUGUUUCCAAUGGAAAAGCUGAAAUUCUUUGGUCAUCGAAUGUUACCAAUACAGUUCCUAAUUGUCCAGCUUUUAGCCUCUGGAAACCUCGUCCUCAGUAAUGGUGAUGAUGGAGCAAGCAGCUUGUGGGAGAGUUUUGAAGAUCCUUCUAAUGUCUUCAUUGAAACUAUGAAGAUCAGCACUGAUGUUAAAAAGGGUCGUAAAGUGGAGCUGAAAUCAUGGAAAAGCAUUGAUGAUCCAUCUGAUGGUAACUUUUCUCUUGGUUUUGAACCUUUCAACAUCCCAGAGGGCAUCAUUCGGAAGAAAAACCAGCUCUAUUUUCGGACCGGUCCAUGGAAUGGGUAUACCUUUAUUGGCUUAAUAAAUAUGUACACCUCUUAUCUUCAAGGGUUUGUUGUUGUUGCAGAUAACCCACAACAGCCUUACUGUAUGACUCAUGAAUUUUAUACUGACUCUAUAUUGAUAUACGGUGAAUUAGAUUCUCAAGGAAAAUUCAUUGAACGGAGAUGGGAUGCUGGGAAAGGGAACUGGAUAAACAAGUACUCUAGUUAUCAAACAGAUUGUGAUGUUUAUGGAUACUGUGGGGCAUUUGGAAUAUGCGAUUCAUCGAAACAACCCAUUUGCAGUUGCUUAAAGAGGUUUAAGCCCAGGAAUAUAGAGGAAUGGAGUAGAGGUAAUUGGAGUAGUGGAUGUUUUAGGACUACCCCUUUGCAGUGCCAAAGAGAUAACAACAAUGGCAGUGGAGCAGGCCAAGGUGAUGAUGGCUUUUUGGAGAUGAAGAAUAUGAAAGUGCCGGUAUUUCGGCACCCGUCAUCAGUAAGUAACGGCGAGUGCAAAGAUCAGUGCAUGAAGAAUUGUUCGUGCGUGACUUAUGCGUAUGAUGAUGGCAUUGGUUGCAUGUUGUGGAGUGGAGAUUUGAUUGAUAUUUCUCCACUAGCGGAGUCGAUCUUUACAUUCGUCUGCCAUCUUCGGAACUCGGUAAAUUUUCUUAAUGUCGACCGUUUGUUUGAUAAAUUGCGUCAAUAUCUGCUUUUCUGGUGUUGAAGUUUUAUUAACCAUGUUUCUGGAUUUGCAGAUAAAGGGAAACAUACUAAGGUCAUUGUUAUUACAACAGUAAUUGCGGGCACAGUAGUUAUUACAAUUUCUGCACUCUUCUUAUGGUGUAACUGUAGGAUAGCUAAACUUAAAAGGAAAUAUAUAUGAAAAAUAUUUAAAUGUAUUUAUAAUUUAUUAAGAAAUUAAAAAUUAAACUAUAAAUAUACAUACACGAAUAUCAAGACAAAAGAGUACAUUCACCAAUACGAUACUAACUACAUUAAUCUUAUCUCAGGCAAUCAGGCAAUAAUAAAAAAACAAAAAUAGAUCAAACACCAAUUUUGUAGUGAAAAUAUAGGAGAAAAUUCAAUUGGAGUUAAACUACAGUAGCUGCCACUAAUCAAUUUCAAAGAACUUGCCACCGCGACAAACAACUUCAAUCACGCAAAAAAGCUAGGGCAGGGUGGUUUCGGUCCAGUUUACAAGGUAAUAAAUAAUGGCGAUUUUCAGCAAAUCCAGUGUCAAUGAAAUGACAUUUUCCUUUUUUUCUAUCAAGUCUUGUGAGUUGAAUUUUGUGUGCAGGGAACAUUACAUGCUGAAAAGGAAAUAGCAGUAAAGAGAUUGUCGAAAGCUUCGGGGAAAGGAUUGGAAGAAUUUAUGAAUGAAGUGGGGGUGACCUCUAAGCUUCAACAUCGAAAUCUGGUUAGAUUGCUUGGCUGUUGUGUUGAAGAAGAGAAUAUGCUUGUCUACGAAUAUAUGCCCAACAAAAGUUUGGACGUUUUUCUCUUUGGUUAGUAACUUGUUCUAAUCUUUUUUUACUUUUUUUUUUUUGUGAUUAUUUGGUAUUCGACUUAAUCUAGAGUCCAAUAAAGUUGUACCCUAAACGAGGGGCAAAGCUCUCCUAGAACUAUUUUCUUAAUCCACAAGACUUGAGCUCCUUAUCACUCAAUCCAAUAUUAGAACUUCUGUCGUUUUCCUUGAUCUUUACAACUUAAACUUGUUCUUGACUACCCCAUCUACUUAAUCUGAUAAGUCCGACUUAUUUGACUUGGUUGGUGUAAUCCAUAUAUGUUGGAUAUAAAUUGUAAUACCCAAUUUUAGCCCGGGCUCACAUAUGGAAACAUAAUUUUCGAGGAUAUACAAUCUUAGAUAUGAUAUAUGCAAUCUUAGAUAUGAUAUAUACAAUCUUAAAAGAUAUGAUUUUGUAAUCUUAGAGAUUCAAUUUGUAGAUACCCUUUAAUCUUAGCCGUUGAUGUAAUUGAUCUGUACCGUUGGAUUUGGGGAGGCUCAGCUAUAAAUAGAGGCCUCUCCCUUCAUUGUAGAAAAAAAAGGGAGGGAGGAAUAAAAAAAAAAGAGAGCGAUUGACAGUUUUUUAAAGGUGGCUUACUAUUUUUUUCUUUCGAUUAUUUUUUUACUUAUUUACGAUUUUAAAAAAGGGGAGAAGGUGAUACCACUGCGAAUUUUAUUUAUUUUAUUUUAUUUAGCCCCUCCGCCUUUUAACGUUUUUGUAAUUAAGUUUUCUUUAUUUUUUUAAUUUACCCUUUUAUUUAUUUUAAAUUCCAAUUUAAUCUUUUUGAACGGCGCCGUUUUAGAGGAGAAGGGAAAAUUUCCCUUCCAACCCCUCUAUCUAAUUCGAGCGUUCAAUUAAGUCCUCCAGACUUUAUUUAUUUGCGAAUUUACCCCGGAUCUUUACUGGCGAUCCAAUUUAGUCCAUUUUCAUAUUUUCUUUAAAAAUCAAUAUUUUUGAUAAUGUAAUUGUAUUCUUUUAUUUUUAUUUUAUAAUUCUCAUAUGCAAUUAUUUUUUUUAUAUAUGUAUAUUUUUAAGCAUGUAUUUAUGUUUUUAAUACUAAAAUUUUUGCAUACUUAUAUUUUAUAUACACAUGUUUAAUUUAUUUAAUUAAUUUUAAUAUUAUAUUAAUUGUUUAAAACUUAUGUAUUUUUUUAUGUGUACAGGUAUUUUUUUUAUCUUCGCUUAUUAAUUUAUGUUUGCAUAUUUUUAUUAUUAUCUUGCCUAUUUAUUUGAUAUUUUGCACGUCAUUAUUUUAUAUUCAUUUGUUUAUAUCAUUUCUAUGCUAUUGUUGGAUUUGUUAUCACAAUAUUUGCACAUAUAAUAUAACGUNNNNNNNNNNNNNNNNNNNNNNNNNNNNNNNNNNNNNNNNNNNNNNNNNNNNNNNNNNNNNNNNNNNNNNNNNNNNNNNNNNNNNNNNNNNNNNNNNNNNUUGAGAUAAUACUCGUAUUUAGGAUUUUCAAGGAAAUUGAACCCUAACGUAUUGGAUUUCGAUUUUCUUCGUUAAAUCUAACAAUCGAGCAUUUCUCUUUAAUCAAAAAAUAAGAACUCAUUAUUGGGAAUUCAACACGUUGUGUCCUAACGUAUUGGAUGUGAUGCAUUGAUUUCUCGAAAUGAAGAUUUUUUCUAAAAACAAUAAAGGAAAUAUUCCGAGUUUGGGAUUUUAAAGGAAUUGUGCCCUAACGUAUUGGUCCGCGAUUUCUUAAAUCUUGGAUAAAUGGAUAUUCUUUUAAUUUUUUUCAUUAUACGAGUAUUCUGACCUAAUUCAUUUUGGAGGAAAUUAGAAUGUUGUGCCCUAACGCAUUGGGUGUGGCAUUUUUGCUUCUCUGAAUUGAGAAGGGUCUUAAUACGUAACGUUUUAAGUUUUUAAAGAUUAUAUUUUUAAAAUUUUCGACCUUUAGAUACUAAUUAAUUAAUUAGGUACCAAUUUUGGGCGUUACGAGGGUGCUAAUCCUUCCUCGUACGUAACUGACUCCCGGACCCGUUUUUUCUAAAAUUCGUAGACCAAAAUCAUUUUAGGUGAUCCAAUCACACCACAAUAAAAUUGGUGGCGACUCCCAAUUUUCAUUUUUUUAAAAGUUGACUACCUAAAAUUUUUUGUUUUCAAAAAAAUGGUUUCGACAUAAAUUUCUUGAAAAGUUUUCAAAAAUGAAUAAACAUAAUUUUCUAUCGAAAAAUUGUUAUGUAAGGAAAAUCUUAUGUAUUUUUAUCGAAAAAUGAACUUCUAAUUCUUUUUUUAUUUUUUUAAGUUUUAUAAUUUUUAAAAAUCAAAAUUAAAUUGACAAAAUGUGUAAAGUUGAGGGUUAAAUUUGUUCAAUUUUUUAGAUUUAGGACUAAAUUGAUAGAUUUUGUAAACAAUGGAGGGUUAAAAUUGUUAUUAUGCCAAUAGAAAAAAGGUCACCAUUAGUGAUUUAAUGAAGAGUGACUAAAAUAUUUAAUUUUGAUAAUGUUAGUAACUAAAAUAAAAAAUUUUAAACUUGGGUGACUAAAACAGAAACACACUAAUAGUUAGAUGGUUGUUUUUAUAAUUUUCUUUUAAACAUAUAAUAUUUAAAAAUUAAUUAAAUAUUAAAAUCACACACAAACACUUGUGACAUUAAAAGUUAGUAAUUAUAAAAUAUAAAAGUAUAAUUCUAAGUUUUUUUAAGAAAAAAAUUGGUCGCCUAAUUGAUUUAAUGCAAAUUUGUGCAAGAGGAUAUGAAAAAUAGGUCAUGGCUUCGUCCAUGAACAUGUCUGAUGUAAUUAUUUUUCGAUAUUCGAAUCGUAGCAACGUAAUGUUUUGACUCUCUUCAUUGUUGAAUAUUUAUUUCAAUUGGUCGACAUAACAUCAAUUCUGUCUACAAUCACAAUGAAUACAAUAUAGUAGAAAAUACAACAAUGGUUGUAGUUUAGAUUCAUUAUUAUAGGGAUUAACUAUAAAUCUUGAGGUUUUAUUGUUUAAUUUUUGUAAUCGAUCCAGCUAAACAAGAUGUUUUGGAUUGGAGAAAACGCUUCAACAUUAUUAAAGGGAUUAAGCAAGGAUUGCUUUAUCUUCAUAGAUAUUCAAGACUAAGGAUUAUACAUAGAGAUUUAAAAGUAAAAAUAUUUUACUCGACGAAGAAUUAAACCCAAAAAUUUUGGAUUUUGGGAUGGCAAGAUUUUUGGAGGUAGUGAAAAUUAAGCCAACACUAAAAGGGUUGUUGGAAGUUAGUUUUUUUUUUUUGUAUAAAAUAUGGUAUAGAUAUAUGUCUAUCGUCAAGUUAGGUACGAUGGUUAAAAAGAAUACUUGUCUAGAUCUAAAUUGUAAUACUCCGAAAAUUACUACAAUAAGAAAGUAAGAUAAUAUUCUCGAUAUAGUAAAAUAAGAAAAUAAAGUGAUAAAAAGGGUAAUUUUGAGUUAUGUCAACAUUGAGUAGCUUGCAAGGUGACAUGGAGAGUCCUAAUACUUAAAUUGAGUAUAAGCUCUCUAUUUUGCUUUAAAUAUAUAUUGAACAUUUGCAAUUGAAAUUCGAGUUUGACUACAAUAUCAAGUUUAAGUUGAGCCUAAGAAUGAAGCUCAAUUUAGACAUAGGUAAACAACUUAAACAAGAAAUUUUGAGCAGUUGGAUCUUUAUAUAUGUUGAAUUGAGCUAAUCAAAAUCUAUUUAGACUUUGUGUUUAUGAUUUUGAGUUGAUUUAGGCUGAAAAGUUUAGUAUAAUUUAGACAAAUUUUCUUUUCUGUUCUUAGGCAUGAAAAUUGUGGAGGGAAGGCGAUAUUUUUGGCAUAGUAGACAAAGUGAUUUUAGAGUCAGAAACAUAUUCAAAGAAUGAAAAUGAAAAAGAAAUAUGGAGAUGCAGGCAUGUUGGUUUGCUAUGUGUUCAAGAAUUUGCUAAAGAUAGGCCCACUAUGCCUACAGUUGUUUCAAUGCUUAAUAGUGAGAUUUAAGAUCUUAACACUCCAAAACAACCCGCUUUCACUGCAACACCACUAAUGAGUCAUGAUGUUGAAGAUAGGGUUUCACUUAAUGAUGUAACUCUUACAAACCUUGAUGGCCGAUAAAGAUACAGUUUUAAGUAUUGGAAUUUAUCUUUUAUAUUCAACCUAUUUUUAUCAUUUUAUUUCUAUGAUAAUUGUAAUUUUAUUUGUUCCAUUCUAGUGAAUUUACCAUUAUAUUUGAACAUAGCAGUUUAAUGCCAAAACCGAAAAUUUUUGAUGAAAUUCAAAUUCAAACUCAAUCCAAUUUAAUUUGAACAUAAAAAAAAUUAACAAUUUAAACUUGUUAAAUCCAAACUUAAAAAUAAUUUAAAACUCAAAAUAAUUUAAAAUUAAAAUGAUUCAAACCCAAAUUUGCCUAACCCAAAAAUCUUCCAUUUUUUUUGGUGGAUUCAUUGUUUUGGGUCAAAGCAUCGUUCCAAUCUUGCGGCCAUAAUCUUCCAUGAUAUAGUUAGUGUUAUAAGUCUUCCACUAACUAAGUACAGUUCCUCUUAAGUUGGGGAUGUAUCUUUCACAGAUCUUUCCCGGCAACUCCCCCGUAUGUCCUCGCGUUUCCGUAAAGAGACUUUUUUUGAUGUCUUAAAUCAACAAUGUAAUUUUUAAGAAGAAAACAGUGGAAAGCAAAUUAAACUUGCAUUUUGGGUGGAAGAUAAAUGAGUCUUCAUGUCAACCAAAUUAAACGUGCAUGACAAGCUAGAAGUAUUGAUUUCCCUGAUUGUAUUUGUGCGAACAUGGUGGCGCAUGAGUUGAUUUUUUGGUACUCCAAUGCAAGAAAGGGCCAACAAAAAUAUAGAAAAUUAAGAGUAAUUGACACUUCCAGAAAAUUUCCAUAAGUCAAAAUGAGAUUACGUAUAUACAAAGGAAAUUGAGAUGUAGAAUGUAGAUCAGUAGAUGUAAACAUUUGAGGCUGCCGUGAAACAUCAUUACACCAUAUCAAAAUCAGACCCUAAGAGUCAAUUUCUGUAGAAGGUCCUUUAAUAGUCAAUUUCUGUAGUAGAAGGUCCUUUAACUUCUCCCCUUUUUGGAAAUGCUAGUUGAAUACAAUAUUCUAAUACAAAAAGGUAGUGAUUAGUGCUUGACGAAAAUUCAAAUCUUGAUGUAACAUUUGCAGCUGCCUUGAAAUAUCAUUACAUCAUAUCAAAAUCAGACUGUUUUUUUAACUGACAAAAAAAAUUGAGUUAAAUAUCAUUCAUAAAUCAUAGCGUCUCUUCCAAGAUCUGGGAAGAGAUUAUGGGAAAAACUAUUAGCUGCUCUGUUUUACUAGCUUUAAUAUCUUGCUUUUACUUACUAUUUGCCACUGCUUUAGACACAAUAACACCAUCAAAAUCCAUCAAAGACCCUGAAUUUAUAAUCUCCCAGAAUGGUACUUUCCGAUUGGGAUUCUUCAGCUUGGCUAACUCCAGCAAUCGUUAUGUAGGGAUAUUGUACAAUCAAAUCCCCGUACAAACUGUUGUAUGGGUAGCAAAUAGAAACAGGCCUCUCAAAGACUCUUCUGGGAUUCUUACCAUAUCAGAUGAUGGCAACCUUGUUGUUUCCAAUGGAAAAGCUGAGAUUCUUUGGUCAACAAAUGUUACGAAUCUGGUUCCUAAUGCAACAACUGCACAGCUUUUAGACUCUGGAAAUCUUGUCCUCAAUAACGGCGACAAUGGAGGAAGCAGCAGCUUAUGGGAGAGUUUUCAACACCCUUCUAAUGUAUUCCUUCAAACUAUGAAGAUGGGCGUUGAUGUAAAAACGGGUCGUAAGGUGCAUACGAGAUCAUGGAAAGGCCCUGAUGAUCCAUCUGAUGGUAACUUUUCUCAAGGCCUUGAACCUUUCAACAACCCAGAGGGUGUCAUUCGGAACAAUAACCAGAUAUAUUUUCGGACUGGCCCAUGGAAUGGCCAUAUCUAUAUUGGUUUAAUACAUAUGAAUUCCGUUUAUCUUGAUG